rnacentral:lncRNA from 1 species
GAGAGCUCAGGUUAAGGCUUUAGAAAAGAGGAUGGAUAAUUUGAAGGUUGAUAACCCCCCCUUCGACAUAUGUCUACACCUAUGCUUGGUGUGGUAUUUGUGAUAGCUAGGUUGAAUGUGAUAACUUCUACACCAACAAACCAAUGACCGUGGAAGAAGUAGAUUUUGUGCGAGAGGGUUAUCCUUUCAGCCAGCAAGGAUAUCAAGACUUUAGAGCAAAGAAUGUCGGAGGCUGACAACUCCAACAUGCAUAUCCUCGCUUUGAUUUCUACAAGCCUAGAGUAGAGGACUGGAAUGCAAGCACUCCUCAAGGAAAUUCAAGCAACCAAGGACCGCCAGGAUUUCCAGACAAGCCACCUCAACAUCCAAAACAAAAUUCGGCCACCACUAGAGGAUUUAAAGAUGACAUUAUCCAGAUGAUGAAGAUCAUGCAGGCGCAGUUGGAAAAUCAAAACAUUAUUUUGAAAGGUCAACAAGCAAUGAUUCAAAGGAUGAAAGGCAUCCUACCCAUCUUUAGGAGAGAAGGUCGAUCAGAAACCUUCUGGACAGCUCCCCUCAAACACUGAACAAAACCCCAACAACAAACAAAAAGGAAAAAACCCCAACAACAGACGAACCCAAUUUUCGUUCCGCCGACCGAAGGAUCUGCCUUCUGUCUAGCCGCAAUUUUCGCCAAUUUUGGAAUGUGUCUUACCUGAUCGGUCACUCUCCGGAUCAUUGUUUUCGUAUUCGGAUCUUCGCUUUCCCAUUGGAGUUUUGAAGUUCCAGUUUGACAGUGUUUGAGUUCGUUGAAGAUUGUUUGCGUUCGUUGAAGAUUGUUUGAGUUCGUCGAAGAUUGAACUUCCGUUCGUUGAAGAUUGUUGUGUUUGAGUUCGUUGAAGAUUGUUUGCGUUCGUUGAAGAUUGUUUGAGUUCGUCGAAGAUUGAACUUCUUAUAUACGGGUAUUGAUUUUACGGAAGGGAAAUUUCGUAAUUUACCAUAUCUAGGGGGUUAUCUAAUUUAAAUUUAGGGGGUCGUUUAGAGAUUGAUAAAAAAAACUUGUUAGUAAGAACAAGUCCUUAAACUUGAUUAAGUGUGAAGGAAAUAGGAUGAUUAGAUUGGUUCAGAUGGGAGUGCCGACAUUAUGCUUACUCUCGAGCUUUUAUUCAAUGCAGCUCUUGCGCGCUAUGUGAACCAACCUGGAAGCCUAACUCAUUAUCGAACUGAAUCCACCCUGGCUCAAAAUCGAUUCAUUUAGCUUUCAAGUUAGCUUGUUAAAGAUCAAGCAUAAUCUCCAACUAUUAUUUUUUGAGGUGAAUGUAGAGCUCCUCACAAGCUGUUCAAAUUUGCACACCACCGUUAAUGUCUCUCUCUUGUUUCCCUCCUACACCAAAUUCAGCGGGCCGAAGUUCUUAGCAGAUCCAAGCAACACAUGAGGUAAAUGAACUACUACGUUUAUGUUCCAAUCAAUCUGAUCCCAACCAGCAACUGGGCAAAUGAUAAAUAAACUCUUAGAUGGCAGUCUUCUAGAUUAUAAAACAUUUCAAAAUGAAUUCCUACAAAUACAGAUACAUAGAAUUGCCAAAAAUUAAUAAACGGUGAUACUAAGCAUGAUUCAGACGCUAACUGGUAUUAUUAACCUACUGGUUUGUAUGGCCGAGCGAUAUCACGCGACGUAAAAUUGAUGAUUGAUUAAACUGUGCACACCUGUAUUUGAGUAACUUCAUUAUAAUUUUUCUAUAAAAAUAAUAACUGUAUUAUAAUUAUGGAACAUAUAUAAAAAAAUAUAGGCACAUAUAGCUUCAUUGGAACUAUUGGCACAAAGUCUCCGCGUAGUUUAAGGGGCCAAAAUUGAAAAAUAUUAGAAAAGGGACUAAUUAAACUCCAGUUCGCAUGGACUGACAUUUGCAACACACUUCGAUUGAUGCAUUGCUUUGGAGAUGGCUUCCUUCCUUCUCUAAUAUAUAGGAGCCUACUUCUGUAUUGGCAUUAGUAUCAGUAGACUGUGGAUGGAGAAGCUGUCAAAUGUUAAGUAGUAAAAUGGAGCAUGAACAUGUUCAACAUAAAUAUGAUUAUACUGUGGAGAUAGAUGAGUCUUCAUAUUAAUAUAAAUUGCAAUUUGAAGAAGUUGAGUUAAUAAUGAGGAAGAUCAGUAAGUGAUAAAAUUAUUUAGUGAAACUGAUGUUUAAAGAGAGAGCUAGCUCCUCGACAUUCUUUGAUAACUAUAAAUACAUUGCUAACUAUAACUAUAAGCACAUUGUUUGUAUCUAACCUAGCAUAUAAAUUGGUUUGGAUAUAAGCUAAUUUUUAUCCAAGUUGAUUAACAACCAAAACAACAGUGGGAGUUUUGCAUUCAUUCUCCAUAUACAUGAUCCCUGGAAAAGCACUCAGAUAACGAUACUAUAUGGCACUAUGCAUCUAAUCAAUAAAAUGAACUGCGAAUUUGUGAGUGUGAUUUCGUCGAAAUCCAAUGUAAAGGUGAGCAAUUUCUAUUAGUAUAACUGAGGCUAUAUAGUAUCGUUCUCUGAGGCUAGAGGUUUAUCAUCUCUACAACUAUAUAUGCAAAUAUUUCAAAAUUAAAUUGCCAUGUAAGCCUUUUCUUCACUCUCAGUCACUCUUUAGGAGUCUGUCCUUUAAAAAAACCCUAAUUAAUGAUUCUCUUUCUGACGGUUUAACUCAUUUCCCUUUCCNNNNNNNNNNNNNNNNNNNNNNNNNNNNNNNNNNNNNNNNNNNNNNNNNNNNNNNNNNNNNNNNNNNNNNNNNNNNNNNNNNNNNNNNNNNNNNNNNNNNNNNNNNNNNNNNNNNNNNNNNNNNNNNNNNNNNNNNNNNNNNNNNNNNNNNNNNNNNNNGGUUACGAGUCAUUAUCUAUGUACCUAUUGAGAACCAUAAUCAGGUUGAAUUAGACAUAUUUAUCAAACCUAUGUACAUACCAUAAACAUGUUUCUGCUUUCAAUAUUCUUUUAACGGACCAAUUAGUCAUUAAAUUUUGCGUAAUUCGGAAUGCUAAUAGGGUUGAGUUGGUUUGAAUUUUGCAUAUCAAUGGAACCUAAGCAUAACUCAUAACAAGACCAUUCUUUAAUAAUCUUUUAUGGCUCAAUUGAGGUUAAAUUUUUGUAAGUUAAUCGAGUUAGAGUCAUUAUCUGAUGACUAAUUUAGAACACUACUCAAGUUGAGUUGGUCUAAAUUAGACAUAUCCAUCAAACAUAACCUUGUAUAAUUACAUGAUCCUUCAUUCAAGAUUCUUUUAGUAGAGUCAAUUGAAGUUACAUUUUAUAAGUUAAUAAUGUUAUGAUUCAUUAUCUCUAGCCCAGCUGCAAAUCAUAACACUGGUACAGUAGAUCGCACACUAUGAUACAGUCCUAAAAACCCGUUCAAAGAUUCUUGUCAAUCGAAUUACAAUUCUACGCAAAAAGCAGAAAGGUAAUCCUAGAUGAGUCUGGUCCGACGCAGUCUCCCCAGAGCUCAAUCGCCUGAUCUGAUGACAUGUAGAGAUCAAUCAUAGGAUUGAAAUUCCCAAACCCCAAAUCCUAACCUAUCAGGACUUUUCAACGUAGGAUUCAAAACAAGUACUUGAGAAGGGAGGAAGAAGAUGGAUUACAUUCAAAACCUUCCUCUACAAUCUCUAAGCUUCUCGAACUGAUAUGAGAUCGAUCGACUUGGUCUUCCCAUCUUCCUGAAAUUGACCGAUGUGAUCCCUUGCGGUCAUGAUUGUGACGGAUGCUGACCACGACUAUAAUCUAUUUGAUGACCACGCCCAUGAAAAACUUGCAGUCACACCCGUGACAAUGUGUCCUACAACCGAUUCUCAUAAUUUAUAGAACUCGAACUAAAUCCAGAAUCAACCAUUAGCCCAAAAUCCAGGUGUCACAACUCUCGCCUCCUACAAAAGGUUUCGUCUCUAAACCUGAAUGUGAAAAUUAACACGAGAAAAGAAAUUCCCUACUAGGUAAUCCUCCAUGAGCUCCAGGAAGCGUUCCUGCAUGCUAGCCUUGAUCUCCGAUGUCGCAGCCUCGACAACCUGAUUUUGGCAAAUCACCUUUAGCAUAGGUGUUUCGUUGCUCCUCGGUUUGACGAAUUUUCUGUCUACAAUCCGAGCUGGUUGCUCCACAAAGGUCAGGUCCUUCUUGAAUUGAAUCUCAUCUGGCUAGAUCACUUGAUUCGGCUUGCCAAUGUAAGCCUCAAGCACACUCACAUGGAACACAUUAUGUAUCUUGUCCAACACAGCACAUAAGGCCAGCUCAUAAGCCAUGGGUCCUAUCUUUCGAAUGAUAUCAUAAGGGCCAAUUAACCGAGGAGAAAACUUCCCCUUCUUGCCAAACCGCAUCACUCCCUUCGAAGGACAUACUUGAUGGAGACUUUAUCCCCUUCCUUGAAGCUAAUCUCUCUAGCCUUCCUAUAUGCAUACUACUUUUUCCAAUUCUGAGCCACACCCAGCUCCUCGAGAGGCCGUCUCCUGAACCAUCUAAGGUCUAGUUAAUAACUUCUCUCACUUCCUAUCCAAGAACGGAGGGGUCCUACACUUCCUGCCAUAUAGAGCCUCGAAUGCAGCUACCCUGAUACUAUGGUGAAAGAAAUUAUUAUAAGCAAACUCCACCAUCGACAAAACCUUUAACAAAGGUUCAUCAAACUCCAUUACACACGAGCAAAGUAGCUCCUCCAUUAUCAGAAUGGUCCGCACGACACUUGAUUUGUCAAGUAGUGCAUUUCUAACUUCUAUCUCGAUUUAGUAUCUCGUACCCGCUCGGGGUCCAUUUGAUGUUGUUUCGUAGUGUUUUUUUUAUCAAUUUCAGGCACACAAUGACGUCAGGGCACUAUUCGGAACUAUAUGGCGUGCAAAUAGGAGCUGAAUACAUUAAAGAAUGAAUAAAUCACAAAGUUCAUGCGAUAUACUGUGUUUGGGGACACGCGGAUGGAUGAUUUAAGUAGCUUGGAGCGGAUGGUUGCUGAAAUUUAAGGGGAACACGACGUGUCCAUUGGGACACAACGUGUUCGGAAAUUAACCAACUAGGUUGGGCGUUAACCCUCAUCCAGAAGCAAAUAAAAAAGUCCGUCGUGUGAGCAAUUCUCGUUUGUUUUGUCGCCUAGUAGAUAUCAAAUCUUUGUCUCAAAAGAGCAGAUUGGGAUAGUAGAUAGGUAGCAUAUUAGCAUACCCAAAAGGGUGUGAUUUGAUCAGAGAAGAACUGCAACGGUGAAUUGAAGUUAUCUUGUUUCAUGUAAAUCAUUGAAUUUUUUGUCAUUUAUGAGUUUGAGUUACCUAGGGGGAUUCGAGGUCUAAGCAGUUUCAUCCUUGAUUGUCUACAACCUUAUAUCGUGCAGUCUUGCAACCAUUUACUUUAACAAUUUUUUUUUCUUUUGAUUGUUUGAUGGAUUCUCAUGGCACCUACACCACCAAACAUGCUUAAUACAUUAACACUUUUCAUAACUUUGAGUAGUCACGACAAAGAGACCCUAGGGAGAUUCGACUCGGUUAAUUCAUUAGCCGGUUUAUUUUGAUAAUGCAUAAAAUCGUUCAUCAUCCGCUCCAACUGACCAUUUGACUGUGGGUGAUAAGUUGUACAGAAAUCCAGCUUCGCCCCGAAGGCUGCAUGUCACCCCUUCCAAAAAUGGAAAGUGAAAACGGGGUCCCAAUCUGUUACAAUCGACUUGGGCACUCCUUGCAAUCUCACAAUGUGCUCCACAUACAAACCUUCCAACUCCACAUUCGGCUUAAACCGAAUGGGUAUGAAAUGUACCACAUUGGUCAACUGGUCUUUAUAACCCAAACUGCAUCUUUCUCAUUGACCAAGGGAAAACCACUGACGAAGUCCACCGUAAUAAAUCGAACAUCCACACCAGUAAAGGUAGCGAUGAAGCAACCAUCCUGUUGCCCGAUGGUCAAACUUAGCCUUUUGGCACACCAGGCAACUAGCCACAUGUUGAAUCACUGGUUCUUCAUGCUAGGCUACCAGUAGUGAGGAAAAAGUGUUCUGUAUAUCUUCAUCUCACCUAGGUGCAUGACAUAAGUGAACGAAUGCACCUCGUCCAAAAGGUCCUCCCUUAGCUUGGACCUAGGAGGUACAUACACCCUUUCUUGGAAGAGCAUCAUGCCAUCCUUCCAUGUGUAGGGUGUUGCCUUACCAGCUGACACCAGCUACUGAGCCUCCAAAAUUAACUUGUCUGAUGUGAGCCUCGGUAAUGUGAUCUAGCAGGAAGGGCCAUACUACCAAUCUCGCCAAUGACCCCCUGAUUGAGUCGACUUCCAACUCAGCAUCCAUUCUCCUCAUCUCGACCAAUUCGGUCAACCUCUCCUUCCUUCUUAAGGCAUAAGCCACUACAUUGACCUUCCUGGGUGAUACUCUAUCACAUAGUCAUAGUUCUUGAGCAACUCCACCCAACGUCUCUGCAUACAGUUCAACUCCUUUUGCUCCAUCAAGUACUUGAGACUCUUGUGAUCAGUCUUGAUCCUCAAAGUCUCACCAUACAAGUAGUGCCUCCACAGCUUUAGUGCAAAAACCAUUGCCGCUAGCUCCAAGUCAUGAACUGGAUCGUUUAACUCAUGCACCAUCAACUAGUGAGAUGCAAAACCCACCAAUCUGCCAUCCUGCAUCAAAACACAACCUAACCUCAAGUAUGAAGCAUCACUAUAUAUAACAUACUCCCCCCCCCCCCCCCCCCCAACAACUCGUACCAUGAGUUUUGGUGUUGUGGUGAGCCUCCUCUUCAGUUCCUUGAAGCUUUCACGACAGACCUUACUCGGAACAAAAUGUGUGUCCUUCCUGGCCAGCUUGUGGAGUUGUCCUGCUAUUUUAAACAAACCUUUCUACAAACUUCCUGUAGUACCCAUUCAUGCCUAAGAAACUCCUCACUUUAGUCACACUUCUAGGUGGUGACCAAUCCACUAUCACCUCUACCUUCAUUGUUUGUCUCUCCUCCUUUGAGGUGUUGGCAUUAGAUGUGUCCCACCUAACACUGCCUUCCUCUUCUUCUCCUCUUGCCAAGCUUGGCAUUCUCCUUUCAUCGCACCCUCAAGGAGUUCUAUCCUCAAGGCUGCUGCCUUGAUAUCUGCCAGGGUCACCAUUACACCAAUCUUAAUCUGAGCCAUCAACCCAUGGUAGAACAUCUACUUCAUGUGCACCAUCGUUUAUUCAGGUGAACCCUUGUACCACCUACUCAGCUUGAUAAAGGCGUUAUGGUAAUCCACCACCUUCAUAUCAUCCUGUCUGAGGUUAAUAAACUCAGCCCUCUUGUUCUUCUGCCACUGCUUUGGUGUAAACUCUUUCUUGAACAGAAUCAGGAACUCCUCCCAAUCUUGAUCCAAGAAGUUAUCCUCAACCUGUAGCUAAUUAUCCAACCACUCCUUCGAUGUACCCCUCAACAGGUAAGCAGCAUACUACACUCUAUUCUCCAGCGUAGGUCUUAGAUACCUAAACACGUUCGUCAGCUCUCGUAGCCAAUCCACUGCUAUCAGCGGAUCUGUGGACACUCCAUGAAAGGUAAUGACACCCAUACGAGUCAGCUCCUUGAAAUCAAAGCUCGGCAUAGGCGGAUCCCUGACCAUGUCGACCUAGGCCUCUUGAUUACUACACACACAAAUGUAAUAUUCAGGCUCCCUUUCAUUUAAGUUUAUCUCUGUUUUUUCUAGUAAACAUGAAAACAGUUUAAAACUCGACCACACACAUGGUGUACAUACCACUACCCCAUGGUGUAUCCUUGGUCACGUCUAUGGUGUAUAUCUUGCUACACCCGUAACUAGCAUCACCACGCAUGUGGUAUACAUGUGACCAUGCCCGUGAUUCUCUGCCCCAUCACGCACGUGACCUGCUAACUAACCAUGCAUGUGGUAAUCAUCAAGCCACGACCAUUACCAACAACUAGCCACGCCCGUGACGUACUUUCCGCCACGCCCGUGGCUCACACCCCAUUUCAAAAUUGCAAACAACAAAUAACUUACAGACUCCUAAACACAGAAGGACAUAUCACCAGGUCAUUAUGUAUUGUGCUCCCAUGAUCACUGAUCGCUUGGAGGUUCAUGACGCCCAUGUACCAGCAAACAUGGUCACGUAGUAGAGAAAAACUAGGCUAUGAUACCCGUUAUGAAACCCAACACUAAACGACCCAGUCGAACCACACGGUUCGACCCAUGCAUUCUUGUAUGUUAAAUUACUUCAUAAAUAACAUCAUAUACAUAAGAUAUAACCGCAUUAAAUGACCUCUCAUAAUAAGUAAAAACCGCGGAAAUGAAACAGAGCAUCUAAGGCUCGAAUCCAAUACUAAACAGGGGAAACCAAUAUCCAGAGGUAAGUUUGUCAAAUCAACUCAAACAUAGAAAAUGUCUGAAAACAUGAAAAUGUCUGAAAACAUGAAAAUGUCUAAAAACGUGAAAACAAUGAAAGGGAUAACCAAGGUCCUCCAAGAUACCUCUCACAGCCACUUGGUUGAGGCGUCGCUACUCUUGCUUCUUUCUUAGGCGGCAUUUUGGCUUGAAGUUCCAUGGUUCAUCAUAUACGUAGAAAAGAGACGGGGUCAGCGAUAAGCACUGAGUGACUAAGCCUGAACGCGAAGAACUGGGCUAGUAUCUAGUAAAGUAACCCUGUGGUCCUAUAGGUAUCAUCCUAACUUCAGCCACCCCUAGAUAUAAGCGGAUAACCUCAUGGUGAAUCAAAGCAAGAAACCAUCCUAAAAAUCCAUGAGAGGAACACUAAAGGUUAACUCAUCACGUCCUGUAUGAACCAUCCUAUAGUAAAUCACACGCUACUAUACAGUCCUUAUAGGAUUCCUGUCAAUCUAAUUUCAAUUCUACGCAUAAAGCAGAAAGGUAAUCUUAACCCCUAUCACUGAAAGCUUUCCCAAAUAAGUAUGGUCUGAAGCACUCUCCCUAGAGCUCAAUCGCCUAAUCUGAAUGACCUAUAGAGAUCAAUUGUAGGAUUGAAAUCCCCAAACCCCAAAUCCUAACUUGUGAGAAUUUUCCUACGUAGGAUUAAAAAAAAAGGAUUUGAGAAGGGAGGAAGCAGAUAGAUUACCUUCAAAACCUUCCUCUGCAGUCUCUAAGCCUCGCAUACUAAUCUAAGAUAGAUUGAUUUAGUCCUCCCCUCUUCCUGAAAUCGAUCACAGUCGUCAAAGAGGUUCUAAUAUUAGGUUUCUGUGAAUUCUGCGUUCUGAAGUUGCAAUUCUGUUUAUAUAAAAAAUCCACCACGCCCGUGGCCCACUUAUGGUCACGAUCUUGAUCCCAUGCUAGUCACGAUUGUGACUGAUGCUGACCACAACCAUUAUCUAUCUAAUGACCACGUCCGUGAUAGACUAGUAGUCACGCUAGUGAUGGUGUGUCCGACAAACAAUUCUCAGAAUUCAGUAAACUCGAACUAAACCCAGAAUCAACCGUUAGCCUAAAAUUGGGGUGCCACAGUUGGGCCCUAGCUUUUUAAGUCUUAAUAUCAUUAUGACUAGUAUUUCACAACACAUUAUAUACACCUUACUUCACGGAAGAGCGAGUUACUGGAUUUCGACAAACUUUUUUCCCAUCUGGGGGAAAAUCGUGAUCUCCAUUACUGAAGCUGGAGACACGGUGUUAUGGAAGGGUAUGUGGAUGCCAAGGUUCUGACACGCUUGCAAUAUGCGUUUAAUAAUAACCUAAUUACCAAAGUAACUAGGGUGGAAUUUCCCUAGGGUUUCAAUGUUGUGUCUACUCGAAGUUUUGAAGAGUGAUAAUAGGUUUAACAAGUAUUGUGGUUUAGGUGCGUACUCGCAGUUCUUCUUGAAUCCCGCCCUUUUGGGUAUGCUAAUCUGCUACUUAUUUACUAUCCGAGACCUCUCUUUCAAGACAAAGAGUAAAAUCUGCUAGGUGAUAAAACAAACAAGAACUGCUCACACAAUGGACUAGUCUAUUCACUCCCGGAGGAGGGUUAAUGUGACACCACAAUUUUGGUCAGCGGUUUAAAUUUCGGAUUGAUUAAAUUAAUUUAAAUAAUUCAAGGAAUUGACCCAGCAGUUGACCAAGUAUUAAAGGCUUGCAAGACUCGGAACAGGUAUCGGGUUGACUAAGUCAAUCAAAAGAGGAGUUAAGCCUUUGAGUUAUUGAACCGUUAGAUGAAUAUAAUGGUGAAGAGUUGGUUUUGAACCAUCCAAGUGAAAAAUGAGGACUGCUACUUUAAUUGGACGUGGACUUAACAUGUUGGGCUUGAGUCCAGUUGGAAUUAUGAUAACGAAGAGAGCUUGGGCCGUCAGAUUAAUCUAGUGGAUGAACUUGGGCCCGUUACCACUUAAGGAGAAGAGAGUUUUGGAGUGGACCAAUCUUCCUCUUCUCCCUAACCUAAUCGUGAACUGACAGGAUGAUUGAUAAGGAGACGCUGGCGGCAUCUCAUUGGUGGAGGUAGCCUUUGUUUGGGAAGGAUGGAAGGGCCCUUGCGGCAGCUGAGACUCGAGGAAGACCUAGAGGUAGCGGCGGCUCAAGUUAGGGGUUGUUUUGCUUGUCGAUGGAGAUUAAAGAGUAGUGGCGACGACUCUGGAUGCAGAGUAGCAAGAUUCGGCCACUGGUGGCGCGUGGGCAGCGUUUGUGGCCACUAGUGGCAGCAGACGAUGGCUGGCGAUGACGAAGGUAGAGGGGGAAACAACGUUUCCAAGAGGAUCGGAGGUUGUUGGAGCUUUGCCGGAGGGUCACCAGAAUCUAGUCAGCCUCGCCGGCGGCGAGCACCAGAGAAGAAGAGUGGUCAUCCCGCAACUUUGGAGAAGUUCGGUGACCGAUCUGUAUGUCCUAAAGGAUUAGUUGCUAAUCUGAAUUUGGUUAUUCUUAAGCCUUGCUUCGUUAGCUCUAAACUUUUGGAUGGUUUAUUAUUGAUGACUCGGGUUAUUUUUGUUAACGACUAGAAGUUUCGUAUCCAUUAGCAUAACAGAGGCAGGUGGAGGACUGGCGCAACGUUUCUGUCCCAACAACUUUCAGAUUGUUGCAAAGAAGUAAAUGUAGCAUAACUCGACCGUUUUGCCUCUAAACCACGCACGAUCAGAAGCUGCAGAUACUUGGCAGGUGGGGAAUCCCAUCAAGCCAGAAUUAGAGGUGUCAGCUUUUUUUAACAGUUGGGGGCACGAUUACUUUUCUGCUUAUAAGUUUAGAACUAUAAUAGGUUGUGAAGAAUCCAAUGACCGGAUUUUUCGUGACUCGGAGUGAGGGCUCUCAGAACCAUACAGUAAUGUAUGAUCUACUGUACAAAUGUUGUGAUGUAAUUUAGAGCAAGGGCUCUCAAGACUAAUUGUAGCGUGUGAUCUACUGUACAUAUGUCAUGAUGUGAUUUAGAGUGGGGGCUCUUAGGCUGUACAGUAGCGUGUGAUCUACUAUAAAAUUAUUAUUUUUAGCAUAAGCUCAUGGCAUUUGAGUUAUGACGUGUGAUUCAUAGUUCAUGUUAGGAUAGGAUAGGCGUAGUUAUACUAGCUCACAAUGAGUAUGUGUUGGUCACCCACUCCCGGAUUGCGCAAUCUCUUAGGUUAUAUUCAGGUUCAGGCAGGACUUGUAAAGUACGCCUACAGAUGCUGCUCUCACGGUAUUCAUGCUGGUUUCAUGGGAUGAUCCACCAUAAGGCCUUCCACACACAGUUAAGGAUGGCUGAUGCUAGGUAGAUGCUUACAGUGACUAUAGAGUCACAUUAUUAGAGUAAUGACUAGAUAGACUUCUAUGUUCUAUUCAUAUCCUUAGUAUUAGUCUUAGUUUCCCUCAGUUCUUAUCACUCGCCCCAUUACAUGUUGUUUUCCUUGGUGUAUUUGUGUAUUUCAAUCACGGGUACUGAAAUUGAUGGUGGAAAGAGAGCUGAUCAGAAUUUUAAUAUCUAUCGAUAUCUAUUUUGAUGUAAUUUCAGUUUUAGAGUUGUUCUCCUUUUGUUGUGUUGUGAUUUGGGAUCCUCUUUGGUCAGUGUUAUUAAAGUGUUUCAGUUAAGCUUUCAAUACUUGUGUUUCAUGCAUUUGUAAGUAGGUUUGAGUUGAGUUUUGUUCAGGUUAGAAUCUGAGUAGGAUUCCUCGGUUGAACCACUAGUUCGACCAAGACUUCUAAGGUGGGGUUUCACAGUUAAUGACUAACCUAAUUAUUUAAAUUUGGUGUUCUAGAUAUGCUAGCUAUGAUACCCCAUUUUGGGUUGACAGUUUCCUUUUUGGUCGAGAUCCCUUGUAGGAAGACGCAAGAGGUAUCAAGAUAGCUCCUAAGCUAACAAACCCAACUAAACUACUCGAAACUAGGGGGAGGGAAAGGANNNNNNNNNNNNNNNNNNNNNNNNNNNNNNNNNNNNNNNNNNNNNNNNNNNNNNNNNNNNNNNNNNNNNNNNNNNNNNNNNNNNNNNNNNNNNNNNNNNNNNNNNNNNNNNNNNNNNNNNNNNNNNNNNNNNNNNGCUCUAUCAUAACCAUCAUUACUUAGGCAGUAAAAAUAGUCAUGUAUGCUAGUAAUUUACAUUAAGGGAUGUAAAUGAAGGAAAUUGAGUUUAAUAAAGCGACCAUUUUCAGUAAUUAAAUCGAUUGUCAAAAGAGUUACGAAAGGGUGGCAUGAUUGGUGAAAAUGGAGAUAUGGAGGAGACAUUUAAUUAGGGCAAGGAUUAAGGGCUGUCUUUUUUAUUUAAUUAAUUAUUAAUUGCAGGGGUAAAAAUGAAAAGGCCCGAAUAUAGGAGAGUAAUUAACUUAUUUAUCGGAUUAAUUAUCCAUGAAUGAAUUUAACUGGUCGUUUUCCAAAAUAAUAAUGUCACCAUCACUAUAAUCGUCGGGGGAACGUCUGAUGGCUAUCGUUGGAGAAUCUGAUUACAGAUGUACUGUUACCAUCGGGGAAAAUUUCGAUGACCAUAAUGUAGGAGAUUGAGCUCCAAUUAUGAUGCAAAAUGGCCACGACUUAGGAGAUUGAGCUCCAAUUACGAGGUAUAAUGGCUAAGACCUAGGAGACUAAGCUUCAAUUACGAGGCAUAAUGGCCAAGAUCAACAUAGGGUCGUCAACAAACUUAAUCAAGCUAAUAAUCUUUCCCUUAAAAUUAAUGAAUGAAUCAAGCUAGUAAAACAAAAUCCAUCAUCCUAGAAAAGAAUGAUAAUUAAACAAACACAAUACAUAACAACAAAUAUUUCCAAAGGACAUGGACAAUCGAGAGACAUAUAACACACACAGGUCUUCUUAGUAGAAAACAAUAGACAAAUAAUUAAAGAUCUACCGAUUGAGCCAACAAUCAUACGAUCGAUGAAUCCCUAAUUUUUAUGAAGCAAAGCAUGAAAACAAGCAACAAUUAACAUUACUAAAUCUGCUUUAGUUUCUCAUAAUCAGAUCAUGGGUUAGUGAUUUUGUGGCCUCUUCUUUCGUUCAUCUACCAUUUUGAUUUGCCUCUUGUAUUUCCUCUCACAUCUAAUGAUAUCGAGAUUGAGCUAGGUUUGCAAAAGAAUAUGAACUCACGGUCGUCGUCCACCUUGAGAGUGACGAAGACGAAGGUGGUCGUCGCUCACUUGUUGAAGUUGAUGCCAUCCUCGAUCACGCCAUUCCCUUCAAGAUCCUGGCCAGCAUGUGGCCGAAAUCAUUGUCGUCGAGCCUACCGACAACGAGUUUCCCACUAGUAUGGAGAUCGCGAUUGCAACGUUUGCGGGUGUGCCACCGGUAGCCUUGUGGAAGCCUUGAGCCUCGACGAGGGAGACACCAGAUGCGGUAGGGAUGAAGUUGAUCAGCAUCUCAGCGAUGUUGAAAAUAAGGGAGGAGUCUGCUGAUCCACCAUUGGAGACCAUCUUAGGGGCCGUAAGUCUGUCACAGUUGUGGUUGUCAGAUAGACCAGAGAUGUGGUCAGCCAUUAGUCAUGGUUGUGACCAUCAAGAGAUCAUGGGUGUGACCAUUAGUAGGUCAUGUGCAUGGUUCCCUGGUAGUAACAUACAUGGUGUUAAGUCGGCCAGGGCAUGGCAGACUUAUUGUAAAACCAGAGUUGCGAUCAGCAGCUCAGAAUUACAGAAACCCCAAACUUAGAAUCAUCUAUGAAGAAUGAUAAUCAAUUUUAGGAGGUGGACAAGGCAGAGUUGAUCGAUCCCAGAUUAGUAGCAGAGGUUUAGAGAUCAUUGAGAAAAAUUCAGAAGGUCAAAAUGGAACAGGCGAUUAAGUUCUAGGAAGGAAGCUUCAGAUCAGACUCUAUCAGGAAAGCGUAUCAGUGGUGGGGGCUAAUAUUACUUUUCUACUUUAAGCAUAGAAUUGUAAUUAUGAUUGUCAAGAAUCUGAUGAUCGAAGCUUUAAGCAUACCGUGUGAUCUAUUGUACAUAUGUUACGAUUACAGAGCUGGGCUUGCAUGCUGGACAGUAUCGUGUGAUCUACUAUACAAACAGUUGUUUAAGUUUGAGUAUAAGCUCAAUGUGAUUGAGUUAUACGUGUGAUCCAUAGUUCAUGUUUAGGAAACGAUCAUGUUUAGCUAUAUGAGCUCCCGAUAUGUGUUGGUCACCCACCCAUGGAUUUCACAAUCCCCCAGGUCAAGUUCAUAUUUUUAUGCAGGAUAUGUCAAGUAUGCCUACAGAUGCUGCUCAUAUGAUUUUUGGGGUGGUUUCAUGGUCUGAUCCACCAUGAGGCUAUCUACUAUAGCUAGGGGUGGCUGAUGUUAGGAUGAUGCCUACAUGACCACAAUGUCACAUUACUAGAUGUCUAGUGAAGUUCUACGCGAGUCUAGUUUGGCCACUCAGUGCUUAUCACUAACCCCAUCUCUUCCUUGCAUGAUCAACUGUGGAACCUCAUGCGCAAAUGCCGCCUAAGAGAACUACACGAGCAGCGACACCUCAACCGAGUCAUAUAGUGAGGUACCUGAGAGGACCUCAUUAAUCCCUUUUCAUGUUUUCAGCUGUUUUCUUGAUUUCAGGAUUUUUAGUUGUGUUUAGUAGACUUCUCUAUAUAUAUUGAGAUUCCCUGUUUUGGGAUGUUUUUACAUUAUUUCUAGUACUUGAUUUCAGCCAUAGAUGCUCUAUUUUUCAUACGCUGUCAUUUACAUGUUAUGAGGUAUUUUAGGAUUAAAUCAUAUUAUGUAUGUUUAUGUGAUGAGUCAACCCCCGAGUAAUUGUAUGGAUCGAACCACAUGGUUUGAUCGGGUCGUCUAGGGCCGAAUUUCACAUUUGCUCUUUCGAGACAAUUACAAAUCUAACAAGAUCCUAUUCCAGAUGGCGAAGCAAGAAUAAGAACGGAAAAAAAUUAAACAUAAACAAAAAUCCAUCCAACUCGCAUAAAUUGUUAAAGUCGAACAAUCAUCCGUUCAUAAGAAAUUAUCUAGGGAUCAUCUAAUCUACGCACUAGGAGUUUAGCUAAUCAUAUUCAUUAAGGAAAAAUCAAAAUCAAUAAAGGAACACAUUGGAAUUAGGUUUACAAGAAGAAAUUCGAAAAACCUAACUUCUGCGAGAACUGUCGAAGAAAUCGAUCCAAGCUUCUUAAAUUUGAUGCCUUCUUGUCGCUCCGAACUCUCUGAACUAUGCUUUCAGAUUCACCCCAAAAGGGUCUCAGGUGAAUGGACUAGAGACAACCAUUAAAUAUAAUUUCAGAGAUCUUUAUUUCUACCAAAUUUUAUCAAUAAUUGCACUAUAACCCUUUAAAGACUGUGCUGAGGUCAUAGUACAAUCAAAGUAAGGAGAACUCUCUAACACAAGUUCAAAAACCUAUUAUCAACCUUUGCGUUAAGACCCGUAGGGAAACCUGCCCUAGACAACUCGAUCGAUCCACAUGGUUCGAUCCAGCCAAUAUUCGCAGGUUCACUCCAUCACUUCAUCAACUGAAAUAACUAAACUGAAAGAUCCUCAAAACAUAAAACAACUGCUGAAAAGAUAAACAGAGCAUCUAAGGCUUGAAUCUUGUAUCAAAGACAAAGUGAACAUCCCAACAUCUAGAGAUAAGCCUGAUCAAAACAACUGAAAACAAGGAAUGUGUGAAAUCAUGGAAACAUCUAAAAACAUGAAAAUGAUGAAAGGGAUAACUGAGGUCCUCCAUGGUACCUUUCUCUAUGAAUCCUAAAGUCACUAAGUGGAGGCGUCAGUUAGGUGGCAUUUUCUCCUGAUUUCCCAAGGUUGAUCGUACAUGAAGAAACGAGACGGGGGUCAGCCAUAAGCACUAAGUAACUAAGCCUGAACGUGAAGAACAAACUAGUAUCUAGUUAAGUGACCAUGUGGUCCUAUAGGUAUCAUCCUAACGUUAGCCACCCCUAGAUAUAAGCGGACAACCUCAUGGUGCAUCAGAGCACAAAACCAUCCUGAAAAGGCAUGAGAGCAACACUGAAGGUUAACUCAUCACAUCCAGUAUGAACCUGAAUGAAUCCUAGGGGAUUGCGCAAUCCAAAGGGUGGGCGUCCAAUGUAUAGCAGGAGCUAAUCUAACUAGUCCUGAUGCUCGAGCUAAUCUAACUAGUCCUUAUCCUAAUCAUGAACUGUGAAUCACACACAGUUCAUCGCUGUGAGCUUAUGCUUGAAAUUAACAACUAUCUAUGCAGUAGAUCACAUGCUACACAAUAACCUAAAAUACUCAACUACAAUUCACAACCACAAGUACAGUAGAUCGCAUGCUACUAUACAGUCCUGAAAAUCCAAGCAAGGAUUCCUAUCAACUAACUAUAAUUCUUCGCCGAACCCCUACCUCUGAAAUUUUUUCCUCUGAAGAGUUUGAUCUGAAGUUGUCUCCCUAAAGCUCGAUUGCUUGAUAUGAAUGACAUGUUGAGAUCAAAUGUAGGAUUCAAAUCCCAAAAUCCCCAAACUCUAACCUGUCAGGAUUUCCCUACGUAGGAUUCAAAUCAAAGGAUUGACAAACGAGGAAGAAGAUAGAUUACCUUCUAAAGCUUCCUUACAGAUCUCUAAGCCUCUCUUACCAGUCAAAUGGUCAUCCCCUCUCUAUAGAAUCAAUCACCGUUCGUUAGUGAUAUUACAAAACUAGGUUUCUGUAAUUCUAAGUUCUAGAAAUUGCGGCUCUAUUUUUAUAAUUAGCCCACCACACACAUGGCCUACUGAUGGUCAUGGUCGUGAUUCUCCUGUCAGCCACGAUUAUGACCUUCACUUACCACAGACGUUAUCUACCUGAUGAUCACGUCCAUGAUAGAGUAUCCGUCAUGCCCGUGAUAGUCCAUCUGACAACCAAUUCUCAGAGACUCAUAGAAACCGAAUUAAACCUACUGAUAAAAUUUUUCUCCUUCCUGGCCUUGAUAGAUUGUUGAAUAUAUGUCGUGUUCAAAUCCCCAGCAUUAACACAAAGAUCUCAAGACUUUUGGGGCCGAAAGGACUCCUCCAAGAAGUGGAGUGUAGUCCAAGCUACCAUAUUGACCAUUUUAGUAGUGGGGGAAGGCAAAUUCAAAGAAUCAAUCUGAGACUAUUUAAGAAGAAUUUUAGCAGCCUUAACUUUCUCCCGAGUAUUAUGAAAUGCUUCCAGAUUCAGGCACUUACGAGCAAUCUCCACCUGAUAACGUUUACCAUACAAACCAUAGUAGAAUUCCAAGCAACUUUUACAAUCUCAUCAUAGCUCUUAUGCGCGAACACAUAUUGAAGAAUUUAAAAGGCUUCGGGACAGUAACAACUUGAAUAUCAGUAGUCAUCAGCAUACAACUUGGUCAGAGAACGAAGGGGGAAAUAAGACCACCUGGAAAUUAGGGAAGGCAUCUGACUAGUCUGACUUAAUCAUCACCCUAUCUAGCCUCCCUAAUCCAAGAACAAAACCCCCUCAUACUUCCAAUUGCAAACUGUAUCCAACCCCUCGUCAUGAGGGGCUCGUCCUAGUACUUACCAACACCCUAAUCUAACAACUAAUAAUCUAGCUUAUGAUGAUUGAUAUAAUAGCUAAGGGAAAAAAGAAAACAACCAUUAUCUUAAAAGGAAUGCAAAGAUGGUGACGCUUGCUCCAAUCUUCAGUCCAAGCUCUCAAAGGUUCUCUAAUUUAAUCUUCUAAGGCUCCAAUUGAUGAUGGAUGAGGUGCAAUUUUCGGACUAGGCUUUGGUUAGGAGAGAAAUGGGGGUGAUGAAACAAUAUGAAGCCAAAGAAUGCUCCCUCUCUCCUCAAAAUCCAAAUCCUAUUCCUCUGCCUGCAAGGUCCACAUGGCCUAUGGAUCCACACGGCAUCCACACGCCAUGUGGCCUCUUUCCCAACCGGGCCUUCCGUUUUUCAAUCACACUUUUCUCCCUCUUCCGACCUCCGUUUGAGCUCCGAUUGGUAUCGCCAUAAUUGUCUCAUCGCCAUCUAUGUAACUGAUACCUGCAAGCUCAUAUGCCACAUGAGAAAACAUGUCAAACGGUCCAAAAUGGUCCAUUCCAAACAAUGCUACACAAAACCCUUGUUUCUCCCAACCAAUCAUAUUGGUGGGUCAAAAUAAGGUCAAACGAGGUCAACAAGGUGUCAAAAUGGGGUCAAAUCAGCAACGAAUAAUCGUGCUAUCAGCUACAUUAUUCACUUGAGACGUCACGAACCCCAAAAGAAGGGAGGUAUUCCAUAACCGUACUUGCUCUAGGCAAUCGAGUCUUGUGUUGUGCAUUUGAUAGCUACAUACGUGCAUCAUGCUUAGAAAGAACUUUUGAAAACAGCUUUUGUAAAGUGAUUAUGAAAACCUUUCCGAUAGAGGAUCAUUAAAAAGACCAUUCUACUUGUAGUUUCAACCGAAGCGGUUCACAAGGUAGAAAGGUUUUAGUUAACCCUCCACUAGUUGUGUUAGAUUAUAAGAAGGUGCAAGACGUACGCGGAGUAACUUUUGAAGUUGAAAUUGAAGAUCCUCAAUUUGCCAUCAACUAGCUUUGUAAUUUGAAGGAGGUCUUUGACCAACUAAGGGAUACACCGGAUAAUCAGCUUUGCUACUCGGUCUUCUUACUUCGUGGCCAUGCUAGGGCCAUGUGGGGAGAUAUAACAAUUGAUGAGGAGGAUCCCUUCUCAUUGGGCUGGGAAGAGUUCAAAAUGAGAUUCAAAGUCAAGUUCAUUCUUGAGCAGUGGAAGGAGGACAAGGGGUUGGAGUUUAUGUCCCUCAAGCAUGGAAAUAUGAUCCUAAUGGAUUGUUACAUUAAGUUCACUCGAUUAUUGAUGCGGCAUCCUACUAUCCCGGCUGCGCGUAAGGCAAUGAAGAAGAAACGGUUCCUAGUAGAACUUCAAACAAGCAUUCAGAAGGGGCUAGCAAGUUUUGACAUGACUAGCAUGACGACCAUCAAGCAGGCAACAAUGAGAGCUGAACACAUGGAUAACAUGGGAAAGGCAGAAUGGAAGGAAAAGAAUGAAGAUAGGAAGAGGAAGGCAGUGAAUCAAACACCAAGUCACUCUAACGAGGGAUCAGUGAUGAAAAAGGGAUCGAGUGUGAUAACACAUUAGAGACUAAUGCUGACGAUGUUGUGUCAACAGAUAAGUUCCUCACCUUUGGAAAAUCCAAUUUGUCAACAUUGGGGGCAGAAACAUUUUGGAGAAUGCAGAAUGGUGUGAAGGGGAUGCUUUAGGUGCAGUGAAUUAGGACAUUGGGUUAGCAACUGCCCAUUAAUGGAUGGUCAAGCACCAUAUGAGGUCUCUAUUCAAUAGAAUAACCGAGCUCCAUUUAGGAGUGUAUUUACAGGAGGCAGUGGAGAUGGUUUAUAAGGAAGCAAAGGUUCUCUAGUGGGUUGAGGAAUGGGAGCCAACACACAACCAUUAGGUGGUUGUUCCCAAACCACAUGAGUUGCACAGAUAGGAGGAAAUACUCACGGUCGUGUUCAUGCUAUGACACGGGAGGAGGCGAAGGAGACAUCUGACACUGUUACUGGUAAAGUCUCCAUCCUUGGAUGUACCUUAUAGGCCUUGUUUGAUACUGGUUCUACGCAUUCCUUCAUUUCUUGACAAUCUGCGUUAAACUUGCAAGUAGAACCUGAAGACAUUCUGUUACAUUCAAAGAAUAAGAAGGCGUAUACUGAAACCUCCAAAUUUUUCUUAGUGUUCUAAGGGAGAAAAGGUUAUAUGCCAAGUGUUUAAAAUGUGAGUUUUGGUUCAAGAAAAUUCUAUUCCUGGGACACCUAAUAUAUGGAAUGGGAAUUAAGAUUGACCAAAGAAAAAUUGUUGUGGUUAAGUGGAAGCCACCCACUGAUGUAUUAGAGUUACGUAACUUCCUUUGUAUGGCAGGUUAUUAUAGAAGGUUUUGUGGAAGGAUUCUCAAAUAUUGUUGCACCAUUGACAAAGCAGUUGAGAAAGGACACUCCUUAUAAAUGAGACGAGGUGUGUGAAUCAAGUUUUGAGGAGUUGAAGACUACACUCACUACCACGACAGUACUCACCUUACCAACCCCUAGAGGAGAAUACAUGGUGUCCAGUGAUGCUUCUUAUCAGGGUUUGGGUUGUGUAGUAAUGGAUAGGAAGAUAAUCGCCUAUGCAUCAAGGCAAUUACGAUCACACCAUGCCAUAUACCCUACCCAUGAUCUAGAAUUAGUGGCUGUCGUUUUUCUUUAAAUAUAUGGUGAUACUACCUUUAUGAUGAAACAUUCAAGAUUAUGACGGAUCAUAAGAGAAUUAAACAGUUGACAGAGGAGGUGGAUUUAGUUAUUGAAAGACUAUGACUUCAUUAUGGAAUACCAUCCUGGAAAAGCUAAUGUUAUAGCAUAUGCAUUAAGCAGAAAGGAGUGACUUCUAGAUUUGGUGGAGAUUCGAGCCUGAAGGGUGGAGAUGGAAGUUGAUGAGCUUGCAACAUUGAUGGGUCGAUUAACUAUCAGGCUCUUACUUCAUGAUCGAAUGCAAGAUAGACAAAGAGAAGAUUUCAAGCUUCAAAAGAUCAUGAAUGAGGUAGGAAAAGGGGAGAAAAACCAGUUUGAGAUAUCAAAUGGCUUGCUAAAGUGAAAGGACAAGUGUGUGUCUUGGAUGUGGAUAACCUACAUAAAGAGGCAUUGGACGAGGCGCAUUCUUCAGUUUAUGCCAUGCAUCCAAGGCGAUAAAGAGGUACCACACAAUUAGAUCGCAUUUUUUGUGGCCGGGAAUAAAGAGAGAGGUGGUUGAACAUGUAUUGACUUGCUUAGUCGGCCAAAAGAAAAACGUGGAGCAUCAGACACCCGUCAGGUGAACAACAUUCGUGACCUAUUCCAUUAUGGGAGUUUGAGCAUAUUACUAUGGAUUUUGUGAGCGGUUUACCUCCUACAAAAGAAGGGAAAGAUGCAGUAUUGGUAAUUGUGGACUGAAUGACUAAGGUAGCUCACUUCAUUCCAAUCGGAUGGAAGCCCAACAAUGAAGUGGUAGCAAGGCUAUAUGUGGAGAACAUAGUACAACUUCCUAGGGUUCCCCCUCAAUUGUGUCGGAUCGAGACCCUAGCUUCACAUCACAUUUCUGGCAAAGUUUGCAUCAAGCAUUAGGAACAAGGUUGAAAUUCUCUAAAGCUUAUCAUCCGUAGAUAGAUGGGCAAUCAGAGUGGACCAUACUUACUCUUGAAGAAGUUCUACGGAUAUGUGUAAAUGAGUUAGAAAAGCCAUGGACAAGGUUGUUACCUCUUGUAAAAUUUUCUUACAAUAACUCCUACCAUAGUAAUUUGUGCACUGCUCUAUAUGAGGCAUUGUAUGGACGGAAAUGUAGAACUCUAUUGUGUUGGGAUGAAGAAGGGGAAAGACAGAUGAAGGGGCGAAAACUAACUCUGGAAACAGCUUAAGGUGAAAGUUAUUCGAGAAAGGCUUAGAGUGGCUAGGAUUGCUAGAAAUAGUAUGCAAACCGUCGAGCUCUGUAAAUAAAUUAUAAGGGCGGUAAAAAGGUUUUCCUAAAGGUGUCUCCUUGGAAGGCCAUGCUGAGGUUUCGGAGAAAAGGGAAGUUGGCCCCAAGGUACAUUAGACCUUACGACAUUAUUGGUGAAGUGGGACCAGUUGCUUAUGUCUUAGCUCUAUCGAAUGACUUGGAUCGAAUUCAUAACGUAUUUAAUGUGAGUAUGCUAAAAAAGUAUCGCGUGGACCCAUCCCAUGUGAUCAAACUGGAUGAGGUAGGUUAGAAGAAGAUCUGAUGUAUCAGGAGGUGCUAGUCCAAAUUGUAUAUUCACAUAUUCGGGUUUUAAGAAGUAAGCGGAUCCCGAUGUUGAAGGUGAUAUAGAGGAAUCACGAGGGUGAGUAUCCUAUGUGGGAAACAGAGGCGAAUAUGCAAGAGAAGUAUCAUGAGCUUGUAGACACGUAUCUACCAAGUUAAAUUUCUUACUAUGUGAUUUUAUAUGCUUAUGUUGUGAUCACUUAUCAAAGGUCUUACAUACCUAAUAUUUGGAAACUUGACUUGUUAUGUGCUUAUUUGCAUGUGAUGCAUAUGUGGUUAGGCGACAAAAUAUAGAUUCGUAGUAAGAGCUAAAGUUAAGAUUCUGAGGAUGAAAUCUCGUAAGAGGGGAGAAGUUGUAACAUGUCAUCUUAACUGCGCCACAAGUUUGUUUAACUCAACAUACUACUGGUCAUAUCCUUUGAAUAUCUGCAUAUCCAAAGUUGAUGAACUUAGUAGGUGAGUUUAAUUAAAUGUGAAGUUUCCACCCACCACAUUUUUAGUAGAUGGGAAGAAAAAGAUGGCGAUACACCCACCUAUCCACAAAAUGUCAUUGCGUUUCCUUCCCUUGUCUGCGUAUGAUAAGCAUAUUCAUCCCUUAAGUUGCUAAGAGGAAGAAGACAAUAACAUUUGACUAUAAAAAUACAUUAGUUUUACAGUUAAGGAUGAAUACAUCAGUCGGUAGUUAAACUUGAGAGGAGGUAAUUGUGCAUUCUAGUUGGGAUUAGAGAGUACAGAAGUUGAGAGGGGCUUCGACCCGAAGGCUCAUACCGGUGUUUCUGCUAGCCUUUUUAGUGAGGGCCACCAGCAUAUCCGAUAGGGUUAAAUGUUCCUUUACGUGUCAAUUUUUAUGUCAUAUGCAUGCAUGCUAGGAGAGUGACCCUAUGCAUUUAUUUCAUUAUGUUUACUAUAUUUGUGACUUAUAGUGGAUAUGAAAUAUGUUAUGUUGUCUUGCUAUUAUUUUUGGCAUGAUAUAUGUUGUGACCUUAUCUUUACUUGAUGAGUAAUCUCCUAGAUAAUUAUUUUAUGGGAAAUAAAUGGGUAAAUGUUUGAUCACCUAAUUUAGGAACCAUAGGCUGGCGGUCUACAUGUGUGCAUAUUGCACUUCAGUUACAUGUGUGUUACGUGAUGGAUUUUUUGUUAUGUGAUUAUCUGCACCCUAGGUUAACUCAGUGCUAAAGACAAUCACUCAGUGAUUUGCACUGACCCCUUAUUUUUCCUCAGACUUACAGUCAAAGACGCUGGUACACACUGAGAUUCUACUGUUGAUCAUCAUGUCAGGUAGAAUCAAAAAAUGGGUCUUGAUCCUCACUGUUUAUUUAUGGGUUUUAAACUCGUUUGUGUUUUAUAUUGUUUGACCAUAUGUAUAAGUGAUCUGACAUCGUGUGUAUUUAAGUGAUGCUAGGUUGUCUUAUUAUGUGUAAUGGCCAUAGAGGCGACGUCUUUGGUAACUCUACUAGUAUUUGUGGAGAGGAAGACUUUUUACCUCUGCCUUUCCUCCUAGACCUCUAUUAUGGGUUGAUACAACGUGAGUUUAUAUAAUCUUGGUGCAACGAUUUGAAAGGUGGCUAUUUCGAGUUUCUCACAAUGUGGGUCAAAACGGGCUCAAUAAUUAACAAGUUCAAUAGGGGACUUAUCUGGUGAAUGACUUUCGUAACGUAGCAUCCCAUAACAUUUUUUUGCUAUUUUUACUAGAAUCAACAUGAUUUUAUGAUCGGUGUGUUUGGGGUGUUACAACAUAUUUGAUCUCCAUCCAUGAUUUGUGAGUAUUUUUCAGAGCCUCUCACUAGCAAUUCUCUCUAUCCAAAAAACAUUCGACCUACCCUUGCUAUCUAUCUUUCGGUCAUUCAAUUUACCACCAAGUUUGACGACGUGGCUUUGUGAAGUGGCUAAACUUAACUGAAAAUGUAUGGAAAGGAUAAUGAAAGUGAUCAUUUUUCAGGUUGGUUAAGUAAAAGGGGGAACAAGGAAAAUUUAAUAGUCGAAGGGUUUGAUAUUAACUUGUUAAAGUAGAGGGGGCCAAAAUACUAUUAUCCGGAUUAUAAAAUGAGGAAGAAACGAGGGGACGAUAAUGUAUAAAAGGCAUGGUUAACUUAGCAAAGUAGAGUGGGAAAAAUAUUAAAACCCUUAUUAUAAAAUGAGGAAGGAGGACGGGACGACAAUGUAUAAAAGGCGUGGUUAAGCAAUAUCGGACUGGCCGGUCCGACCGGUUCUACCGCAAACUGGCGAAAGAGCUGAAACCGAGUCGUUGGUUGAUGAGACUGGUCAAAACCAGGCAUUGACGCGGGUUGACCGUCAAAUUUGGCCAUUUCGAGUGAAAUUGGUUGGCCGGAUGGACCCGAUAUUUGUCACUACACUUUUUAUUUUUCAAAAAAGGAAGAGUGGGAUUCGAACCACGAUCUUUCAAGUAGAGAGGAUGAGUGAUUGCCAUCUCUACUGAUAUGAUAAUUUAAUUAAAACGUGCAUUUAAGGGAAAAACUCUAAAAUGCCACGACCUAUAUACAUAUCGCCAAAAAUGUCAUCACAAUAUUGAUAUAGUUUCUACGUCACGGCCUAUCUAGUUUCAAGCAGAAAAUGUCCAGUCGUUAGUUUUCUCCGUCUUCCGUUAGUCUAUUUCGUUUCAUUUUGCCAUGCCAUUUUUUAGGAUGAGUGAUUGCCAUCUCUACUGAUAUGAUAAUUUAAUUAAAACGUGCAUUUAAGGGAAAAACUCUAAAAUGCCACGACCUAUAUACAUAUCGCCAAAAAUGUCAUCACAAUAUUGAUAUAGUUUCUACGUCACAACUUAUCUAAAAUUUUUUUAAAAUGUCCCGCCGUUAGAUUUUUCCAUCUUUGAGCUGACGUGGAUAGCGUGUCGUUAAAUGAAUCAGCGUAACUGGAUGUUUUAAAUACCACAUUGCAUUACGUUUAUCUGACUGCAUAAUUAAUAAUUUAUUUUUAAUUUUAAAACUCAAUUUAUCAAAUUUAUUCUGCACCGUCAGUUUCAUGUUAUCACCACCUUCCUUCUUUUAAACCCUACUUCGUCCACCAUGGCUAGAACUCGCCUCCUUCAUUGUAAGCUCUUCUUCCCAUCUUAUCUCCAUUUCUUAAUUUCUUUCCGUUACAAUGCAACAACAAUUAGUAUUAAUUUGGCCUCCUGACAUUUCUAGAAAAUUUAAAAAGCCUAGGAAUCCAAACCUGGAAGAUGCUAUUCGGGAAGGAAAUAGUGAUGGAGCUGGCUUUCUACGAUGCCUACGCCGGAGAAUCCAAAGACGGCAGCUUGUCCGCCUCACCCGCAAGAUUCUCAAUGGGAGACGCCGUCUCUAUGUGCGUGGUGGUCUCCAAACCGGUGGGAUCCACCAAAUGUUGCACCUCCUACGACGACUUGUCAUACGCGAAUUUAGCGUUGUGUAGAUCCAGAUUCUCGAGGUUGAAAGGCGUUGUUCAUUUGCAAUCGGAAGAACACAAGAGUUUCAAGGCUGAUGCCCUGGACUGGAGUGGGAUCUGAUCUACAGAUAAAGUACUGAUUUAAUUUCAGCCCGCAUAGAAACUGGAAGCUCGAAUGUGACGUCAUUGACUGAAAGGACAAAGGUCGUCAACGACGAAGAACAUGAAGCAAACCUGGAGGAAUCGAACCAGUGAGAUUGUUCGAAGAUAGAUUGAGAUUCACAACACCUGGCAACAAAUCAUCGACAAGGUCGAAGAGACAAGCUCUCCGGAGAAUCUGUUGUCACAGAUGUCGAAGUGAGGGAAAGAUGGAAAAAGAAUAGAUUAAAUAGUUCAGAUGGACGGUGAAGCUUGAUAAAUAAAAAAUAUUUACAUUUUAAAUUAAAAUUGAGUUAAUAAUUAUCCAAUCAUAUAAAUAUAAUUCUAAAAAAUAAAUAUAACCCUAAAAAUUAACAUGUGGCGGGUCAAAUGGUCAAUUUUACCUACUCAUUUGACAUCGUCAAGUCCACGUUGCGUUGAAUAAGGAAAACUUUACCGACGGGACAUUUUUGGUAAAAUUUUAGAUAGGUCGUGACAUAAAAACUACAUUGAUAUUGUGGUGACUUUUUUUGCGAUAUGCCUAUAGGUCGUGGAAUUUUAGAGUUUUAUUGAUAAUAAUAACAAAACAUUAUGAUAGCUAAUUAACACUAAAAACUAGGAUAUUAACAAAAAUUAAGUAAAUUGUGCAUUAGAUCUCGAUUAUUUGAUUAAUAAAAACUUUAAAUCAUUUAUAUAAUUUAAAACUUCUUAACAAAUGACUCAAUAACUAUAUUUUUGACAAAUUAAAUUAUGUCAUUAUGAUAUUGAACUCUCUAUACUACCGAUUUGAUCCGGGUUAAUCAAAAAAUCGUCCAGUCCGACUUAACUAUAUUUAUUUAUUUAUUUAAUAAUUAAAACGGUCCAACCUGGUUUUGAUAACGGUCGGACCCGAUCGAACCAGAAAUGAUCCAACCUAAUUUUGAGAACGGUCGAACCCUAAAUGAACCACAAAACUGUAAACGCCUAACCCCAAAUUUCGGUUAGUCUUCCCAUUUUUAGGUCAAAAUUUUCGAUUUUCAAAAUUUGGGAUGAUUGGGUACACUUGUAGUGAACAUUGUGCUUGGAAUUUUGUCAAUGAUUGCCUAGGAUUAUUAUUGUGUGCUUGAACUUGUUGUUCACUUGGUUUUUCAUUUUUUCAAAAAUGGUAGAAUUUUUUAGUUUAGCCGAUUGUCGGAAAUCUGACAUUUUGAGUUGUUCUUGAUUUCCAGGUGUUUCAUUUGAUGGUUAUAUGUAUUGAUUAUGCCUCUCCCCUGCUUGUUUUCUCAGUCUCUUAUUGUUCGAUGAAAUUUUCUUUUUCGUCAAAUUGUUGGGAUACUGACAUUUUGUCAAUUUUUUCUGAAUUUUGAUAUGUGAGCUGUCUUGUUCGAAAAUUUUGUGCCCAUUGUGCUUCAAUACCAUAUAUGAUGCUUAUGAUUGCUGUUUGAUGUGAAUUAUGAUUUUUGGUAUAUGAUGCUCCAAUUGUGGCUUCAGUUUUGCCCCUUCCAGAUAUGGCCUAAAGGAUUUACAACUUCCCAGAACAUAAUGAGUUUGCCCCUCCGAUACGGAGUGUAACGGACUUGUUUAGUGGCCCCAAGGGGUACAUCGAUUUGCAGGGUUUUGUGGACAAAGGUCGGGGAGGUCUUCUGAAAAUUUACAGCGACUAAGUAGGUAUAUGGGAGCUGGUACAUGUCUCUGACUUGGAGCUUCCACACACGACCAGGGAGUUCUACUCCAUCCUGAAGAUCGUGAAAUACACUUCGACUAGACAGGCGGGUAAUAUUACCUUCUGACUUGGGGUUUGGGCUUUCUCCUUUUUGGCAGAAAAAUUGGCAAAGCAUAUGGGUUUUCUAUACUCGCGAUCAGUUGGCCAACUUGAAGCUGAUGUCGUUGGCCACUAUUGACAUGAAGCCAACUCCGAACUCGAGGGAGUUUUGGCAGUUUAUGUCGGUGCCAUGUAGAUUAAGAGGCCAUUGUUGAGGCUUAUUCACUUGAUGUUUCGACGCGCCAUCACUUCUAGGAAGGAGUUUAGCAACUGGGGAGUUGUGACUACCACAGACUUGUGGCUCUUCUACUUUCUCGAGAAGGAAGUGAAGGUGCACCUCGCCGAAUUGCUGGUUGGGCUUUUCAGGCAUGUCCUCGAGAUGAGAUAUUCGAGAGUUCUUUUUGUAGGGGACUUCAUCGCAUGACUGGUGUGAUAACUUGGAGUGUUGGAUGCUUUCUACAAGGACCCAUUGCUCCAACACGGGUACCCCAUCACUAUAACGAUGCUUCAUGAUCAUAGAGUGCCUAAUUUGGGAGUUGGUGUUGUUUCAGCGGGACCAGAGAUACUAGAACGUAAUAGGACAUACUUCCCCGUAGAGUCAGAUGAGACUCUUACAGCCGACUUGGGUGGUUUACAGAUCAUCAUGAGUGAUGUUGUGAACACCCAGAGAGGAUUGAGGCAGGAUUUUCAAGAGUUUUGCCAGGACGUACAGUAGUAUGCCGCCUAGACAAGAGAUGCUUGGGGACGUUAGGUUCGGUGAGUUGAGCAGUUUGAAGAGACUCAGGCUCAGCACCCUCAGUAGAUUUCGCAACAGGUUCAGCAGAUUACAUACAUACACCAGUAGCAACACUGGCCGAGUGAACACAUGUCCUACUACUAGGACAACUACUUCACCGGAGUGACCUACCCCCUUACGUGGCCAACAAAUCCACCAGCACCGCGGUGGCCAGAGUAUGGCAUGUACCCAUGGUUCCCAAGGUACCCAUGUCCUCCGCUAGAUCAGUGAUUUUGGGACGUAUCAGUGACUCAUGCUUUUAUGUUUUAUUUUUCCAUUUGAGACUUGGUGAAUUUUCUUUUUCUUGUUUUGUCUUUUGGUCUAUAUAACGGAUGAUAACACUUGUUACAUCUAUCACUAGUAUGUUGUUUGUGUUAUGGUUGGCAGGUCCCAAAAAUGAUUCUUCUAUCGCAUCUAACCACAAAACUCCAUUCCAUCAACUCAAUUCGGUAUCAACUCAACUCUUCUCUUAUUUGACCCCUUGUGAGGGUAAUGUUAUGAUGUUCUCGGAUGAAUUAGGGUGUUAGUCAUUUCACUUGAUUUCUUUAAUUGAACCUUUGUCACUCAACAUUUGAAAUUUCUACUUAAACUUGAAAACUUUGGAUGACAUGGAUGCAUAUUUAGUAUAGUAUUGCUACUUGAGGGUGAAUAGGAUGCAUGAUAGAUCAUUUUGGGACCACCUCCUGAUUUUCUCGAAUCGAGUUUAGAAUCAAUUUAUGCACUUGGUUACUCAGUCUUGAUGUCUACCGACGUUGCAAACAAUUAAUUCCCCUAUCCAGUCGCUCUAGUUAUUUCAAGUCAUAUGUGACUAGAUGGUCCGAGUAAGGUGCAAACGAGGCCAAUGUGCCCAAAUUAUCGUCGGAGUUCGGUUGUGAUUCAACACACAUGGCGACUUUGAGUCUAUCGCCUGUAAGCUAGUCCCUUCAUUCGAUCUAUUUGGAUGAGAGCCUUAGCCCGAUCAGGGUCACAACUACCCCCACCUGAAAAGAUACCCCCCAAAAGCUAUGCACAAAUUUCGAAAGAUGGGUUUGCAAUUAAUUGAGUAAUUCAUUUGACCCAAGGUGUUUAACCUAUCAUAUAUAGAAAAAUUGUAAGACAAGAGGAGAGUGCUCUGAAUUUGAUAUAUUAUUGAAGUAGGCACUUCCUCUCUCAGGACAGGAAAAAAUACCUGGCUAGGACCAUCUAUUUUGAGCAUAACUAUUCAGUACCCAUGUUUUGUUUGGUCGGUAGGUGUUGAGUAGUACUAACUAUAUGCAUAAGUUUGUUCUUUAUUUUGAUUAGAAGACUCGGUAAAUAUAAUUGUGUGGUUUCACUUUCAUAAUGUUUAGAGUUUGUUUAGAGUGCGAAUAGUCAAGUUGCUCAAGGACAAGCAAGGUUCAUGUGUGGGGGGAUUUGAUAGUGAUAGUAUUUGUAGUGGUUAUCUAUCUCUAUCUACAUGCUUUUGAAGUGAAUAUUAGCUCGUUUGUGCUUCAAUUCAGUGUGGUUUUGCGUCUUGGCAUUGUGUCCCUCGCCCCGUUCACUUGGACCGUUUCGGUCCAUUUCAUGUGUUUCUUUGUAGUAUUUGUUAUACACAGGUACUUUCGAAGAAGGUGGUCUGGCUAUGAAGCUACGGACGCGGAAUAGAGCACAGUUCGAACUCGAACGAAAGGACGGUGCAAGACUUGGUAAAGAAGAAGGGAUACGCGCCUUGCAUUACUGCACCCCGCACACCCCUAAACUUGAAUUACCCUCGAAGCUAAAGGGGGUGCACGGUGUGCACAGCAGGCCCUAAAGCUGGAAUUACUAUCAUUGCUAAAGGGGGUGCACGACAUUCACCUCCCGGAUGCAGCAACUACCAAAUAAAAUCCCGAAUUCAAGGAAAGAGAAACAAGUUCUUCUUCAACAAAAAAUUCCCAUGAUUUCUCCCAACUUCUCUCUGCAAAAACGUCCAUUUAUUCACCCCUAGAAUUCUAAUCGAAGAUCCGAAGGAGUUAUCAUUGAAGAUUGAUGUUAGGAUUUAAGUUAGAAGGCCAAAAGUGAAGAUUGGAGCAAGCUUGAUUCAUCUUCUCUUUAUCAAGAUGAUGGUUAUGUCUUUUUUGAUUUUUCUUCUUCUAGAGUUAUGAGUAGCUAGAUCUCUAAAGUUUUUGGUUGGGUUGUAAUGAAUUUAGCUAUUGAUAAUCUCCCUAAAAUUACAGGGUCGACCAUUGUUGGAUAAUUGGAUUUGAAUGAAAGAUUGCUUUGAUUGUUGGUUUUCAACCUCGUUCUCGUUUUGACUUGAAUUGGGUCAAAUCUAUGAAACCCUUUGUUUGAUAGAGUUAGGAAUUUAUAUGAUUAACAAUCUAAGAUAGAAGAACAUUAUCAGUGGAGUAAGCCAAUAGCUUUAUUCUACCUUUCGUGUUUCUUUUAGUUUUAAAGGUUGUUUAUCGAGUAAUUGGCGGGCGUUCUGAUUUGCACCUAAUGGAUCAAGUGGGUGUAGGUAUAUAUAGCUUCGGAGUUGAUGGACCAAGUUAACACUAAUUCCAAUUGCUUGUGAUUUCCCUUAAUUCAAAGAGUGCACAUUAUCACUUUGUAGAACUUCUCGGUGUUCAUUAUUGGUUAGCCUAGUUGAGGUGAUUUCAACCUUGAUUGGGAAGCUAGUAGUGGUAAUCUGCGUGCAUAAUUGUUUCGUGGAUUCAUACGAGUGAUAAGAGGAAUUAAGUUAUUCAAUCCAAUUCCAACGUUUGCUCGAUUCGACUACUAUUAGGAAGUUGAGCUUGAUGAAUUAUCCCUCCCAAGAACAUGUCUUCUCCUUCUCUUCAAACUUAAUUCUUGAGUUCUAAUUGAUAGUGAUAAUUAAUUUAGUAUCAUAACUUGAAACCAAUCCCAAAUUAUUCAGUCUAGACCGUGCUAUUAAGUUUGAGUAGAAGCAUAGCGAGAGGAAUCUUUGUAUACAUACGACACUUGUGUUGUCGAUAUAACUUAACAGUUAUUUUGGCGAUCAACUAGCAUCCUUAAACAAAAGCUAAACUUCUAUACCCUUGGUUGCGAUUGUGUAUUACUAUUAUAUUUAACCAUAUUGGUUGCAUAGCUUUCAUGGGAGGAGUACAUAAUUGGACCCAGGGGUGUUCAGCUAUAUCUUGUGAUUUUUUCGUCCAAUUGAUGGACUCGUUAUAACGAUGGCCUUUAACUGUUUGUCCUCCUUUGGAAAGAAGAAAAACUUAUCGGUGAAUACUUUCGUGUAUUUGGUAUACCAAAGUUUUCAGUGCGCGCGAUUUUCAUGGGUAGCGUAGAUAUCUCAUCAACAUUUAUUUUAAGUAUUGAAUCUAGACGCUUGANNNNNNNNNNNNNUAAGUAUUGAAUCUAGACGCUUGAUAAUUCAUAAUGUUUUAAAUCUUAGUUUCAUAUGUCUUUUUUUGCUUUCAAACAUAAUUUGAACUUUCAAACUCGUCACUCUCGUUAUUUACUAUAACCGUGUUCCGAUCGGGUAUUUUGAACAUGGGACAAAUUUGUAAUAUGAAACGCCUAAACACUUCAUGCUCGAUAAAUCUAAAAGGAAGUUCAUCCAGUAAAAUCAUUUCUACAAAAUCUUUCCUCGAAUCCAAUUGGUCAAAUUUCCAAUUACUUACUUGGUAAUUGACGAUGUUUAACCGCAGAUUCAAAGUUGACAUCACCUUGCUGUUUUUCAUGGGAAAAUAUGAAAUAAUAUUUUAGAUCAAUUUCUUUAAUCUUAUUAUGUCAGAAGGUAUGGAGCUUCAUAAAAUAGUGGAAUUUGUAAAAGAUUUCGGUGUCAGAACGAACAAAAAAAUAGUGGAAUUUGUAAAAGAUUUCGGUGUCAGAACGAUCAUCAAAUCGUAUUGUCUGACCCUCGUCUCAGUUCUCAGAGAAUCGAAAUAUAAGUGACCUUGGCAAUAUUAAGCAUUAAUCGAGCGAACAAGAACGAUUUUGUCUUUAAAUGAUCAAAUUAUUUGUUCUUGUAUCCCUAAAAGGUUGAACUCCAUGGUCAAUAAAAUCACAGAAAUUAUAGAACUGGAAUUUUUCUGCCUAACUAGAUCUAAAAUUUUAUGUAAAUUCCUUGUAAUGGAUGUGCCUUUUGGGUAACGAAUAUAAGCAGCACAAUUUGUUUCUAAAAAGAAUCAAAGCGACAGAGAUGCAUUAGUAGAGAAGAAACAAAUCAUAUUAANNNNNNNNNNNNNNNNNNNNNNNNNNNNNNNNNNNNNNNNNNNNNNNNNNNNNNNNNNNNNNNNNNNNNNNNNNNNNNNNNNNNNNNNNNNNNNNNNNNNNNNNNNNNNNNNNNNNNNNNNNNNNNNNNNNNNNNNNNNNNNNNNNNNNNNNNNNNNNNNNNNNNNNNNNNNNNNNNNNNNNNNNNNNNNNNNNNNNNNNNNNNNNNNNNUGGAACAUAGAGCAACAUAAUGACUAGGAUUUCACACAAAUGACAGAUCAAUCAAUAUAUUGCACUGGCUGGGGGGGGGGGCUGUCAAGUGCAAAGCUAGCACUAACAGAAACAACAACGUUAGAUUUGUAUAAUACCCAACUCAACAACUUAUACAAGUCUCACAAAUUGAACAAUACCCAACUCAACACUGUACAGUACCUGGUUAAUAUGGCUCUUAAUCAGAAGAAGAAGAAGAAUCAGUGAUUUUUAUGUGAAGGGGUACAAUCUUUUUAUGUUAGUAAAAAUGGAAUGUUCACACUAAGGGCUGCAUUGAUGUAGACAAUCAGUGAUUUUUCAGGUUUGGAAAUACUAUAUGGAUGGAACACUCACACUAGUCAGGCAUGUCCGACUUACAAUUUUGACUCACUUCCAUUGCGUUUCCCAGUUAGUGGAAAAAAUGUUUUAUGGGGAGUCGUCAGUUCUUGGAACCCACUAGUUAAGCUGACAAAUUACACACAAGUACCCCAACCUAACAAACUUUCACGUGUAAUGAUAAUCCUAAUGAUAGUAGNNNNNNNNNNNNNNNNNNNNNNNNNNNNNNNNNNNNNNNNNNNNNNNNNNNNNNNNNNNNNNNNNNNNNNNNNNNNNNNNNNNNNNNNNNNNNNAACAUAGAGCAACAUAAUGACUAGGAUUUCACACAAAUGACAGAUCAAUCAAUAUAUUGCACUGGCUGUCAAGUGCAAAGCUAGCACUAACAGAAACAACAACGUUAGAUUUGUAUAAUACCCAACUCAACAACUUAUACAAGUCUCACAAAUUGAACAAUACCCAACUCAACACUGUACAGUACCUGGUUAAUAUGGCUCUUAAUCAGAAGAAGAAGAAGAAUCAGUGAUUUUUAUGUGAAGGGGUACAAUCUUUUUAUGUUAGUAAAAAUGGAAUGUUCACACUAAGGGCUGCAUUGAUGUAGACAAUCAGUGAUUUUUCAGGUUUGGAAAUACUAUAUGGAUGGAACACUCACACUAGUCAGGCAUGUCCGACUUACAAUUUUGACUCACUUCCAUUGCGUUUCCCAGUUAGUGGAAAAAAUGUUUUAUGGGGAGUCGUCAGUUCUUACCAAUAACUCAUCGUUUCUAACAACAACGAACUCAAUUUGAUGGUAAGACUGAACUGAGGCAUGCACCCAUUAUGAAAUCUGGUUUUGAGAUUUUGGGACAAGUUGACAAUGUGAAUGUAGUAUUCGACAAGACUGAAGAUCCUAAGACCGGGAAGAAAAGAUCUCGAGAUAGUGAUAAGAAGGUGAAGCAAUGAAAGAAACGAACCAUAUUCUUUGAACUCCCUUAUUGGGUGUUCAAUCUCAUGUUACACAAUCUUGAUGUAAUGCAUAUUGAGAAGAAUUUUUGUGAUAACUUGCUCUUCAUAUUGCUAAAGAUGCGACUCAUUCAACUGAUUUCAAAUUGCUGGCAAGAGGUUCUUACAAAGAACCAAACAAGUUUUCAACAUUUGAUGUGAAUGGCUAUCGAUUCCUCACUCUGGAAUGGGAGAGGAUGCUAAAAACACAUAACAGUUGUGUUUGUUAACUUUGGUACUAAAAGUUAUGCUAGUUCAGUAGAAAUUAACCCGACGGAUAGUUCAGUCCCAUGUUAUGGAAAAUGAAAGAUAUCAUUCAAUUGAAUUACUGCAGACGAUUAGUCACAUUAUUCAAAUGCAAGUGGGCUAAUACCCUAACAAACAGGGGCUAUAGGAAAGAUUAUCUUAGAUUUGAAUGUGUUACUUCUCUCAUGUAAUACACACCGGUAGUCAAGCUGGAGAUGAGCCAUAUGUGGCAGCAAGUAAUUCCAAAUGGUGUACUAUGUUUGAUAUGAAGGAGGCAGAAUGGUGUGUUCCGAUUCAUAUUAAACCGAGGGACUUGUAUGAAAUGGGUGAUGAAACCAAUUCAGGACAUGCAUCCGAGGCAUUCCAGCGGUAAGAAUUGCCUAAUGUUGAUGACGGAUCAAACAAAUCUCUCUCACGGUUUAGUGUGGAAGCAAAAUUUGAUUGAGGCAUUAGACCUUUUCUAACAUUUGAUUGUUCAAAUUAAUAGAUAUAUUUUAUAUAUAGCCAUUAGUCUCUGAGUGUAUUAUAUGUUUUCUGUAAUACCCCGACCCUAAUACAAAAAUAUUUAUGUAAAAAGUCUCUAAUCUAUCCGUAAAAAAAGGGUUUAUAUCGAUAUUAGAUAAUAAUAAUUAUAUUUGGAAAUGGUGUAAUUAAUUGCUAAUCAAAGGGGUUGAGCUCAUUAAGUUUCACAUGGUUUAAGUAUAGUUAAUCAGUUUGUAAAAUGAUCAUGGAUUUGUUAGUAGCUCAACUGGUUAACCAACCAAUCCUCAAGUCUAUUGACUAGAGUUCAAAUACUAGGAGAAGCAUUUAUUUUUAAUUUUAGGUUCAUUUUCACUCAGCCAUAAAACGACGUCGUUUUGGGACAAGUGGAUUUGGUCAUCACCGUUGUCUUCCUCACCUCCUCCGACCAGCCUUGAUACCCGACAACAAACAUUUUUAGCGCAUCCCAAACGAUUGAAGGCCGUAAUCGGCGUGUCAAACCUUGAUGCCACAUUUUAGACUUAAACCCUCCGAUGAGGGCAAUCACAUAGCUAUUUAAAGCCAUCCAGAAUCAAUUUUGAGGAGGAGCAAGCUUGAAACGGUGUUUCCUUCUUCUCUGAUGUCGAUUUGCGUCGGCAAGUUCUAAACCAACCCAAGACCUUUAAAUACCUUGGUUGACUUCGUAUUAUCAAGACAAAACCUUACGUAUCCUUCGAUUUGAGUUUUUUCGAGUUUUAGUGGUGAUUCAAGGCUCACCGGAGCCCGGGUUCGUCGUCGCCGGAUUCUGGAAAUAAGUCUGGAAAAAUGAAUUCCCGUCGGUAAAUAUUCAGUUUAGUCCCUGAACUUUCAUACUUCCAGUUUAGUACCUAAACUAUCUUAUUUUGUUCUACGCAGUCUGUAACUUUUAAAUUAUUCCAGCUGCGGCCCAAUACUUUCCAGCUAUUGCAGUUUGGCCCGAAAGUGUUGAGUUAAGCCAUAAUUGCUGCAUUCUUGGACGUUUGACCGUAUUUCGAGUCAACCCGGUUAAUUCCAGGUGGGUUGGUUUAAGGGGGUAAUAUCUUCCAUUUUAAAUGUUUAAUAUGCAAAGUAGAGUCAGAGUUAUCCAAUGUGCUUUACAUGCUAUAUGGUUAUCUUUUUAAAUGAUUUUCAAUAUUGAUAUGAUAUGAUAACUUCGGAAGACUGACCCCGAGCCACCCACCAGUUCGUGACAGGUUAUAUGGUAUUAGAAGAAUAGAGGAUCUCUUCAUCUGCCGCCAGGCUGAAGUUGGGAUAUUGAUGAGACUGUAUAUUUCUGGGAUUUGUUUUAAAAGAUGGGUCCAUUCGCUGUUUGACACCAGUUUCCGGAAAUAAGUUGUUUGGCGUAAUAUUCCAGUUUUUCUGCAAAUGUUACCAGUAUCGUUUAUGUAUAAUUUUAAUUAUAUUUUGUACUAUUUCAAAACUAUGUCAUGUGUCCCGGGACAAUUUUUCGUUUCUUUCAAAAGGUAAAACUGGGAUGUUACAUUUUCAGUCAUGACAGACGUUAUGGGAAGUAGUAGCGCUGGAGGGCAUGGAGGUGAUGAUGAUCAGUGGCGUGUAAGAGGCGUCAGAGUGGCAAGUGAGUUGGACAAUAUAAAAAGUCUUAUAAUUAAAGAGCAUGUGUAGUGAUAUUGCAAUGAGUUGGGCGAUAACUUAAUUAAAACUGCAUUAAAAUCAAUGUAAAAGUGGUUAUUGAACAUUAUUUUUCAAUUAUAAAUAUAAUCAACCGUUAUUAUAGAUAUAAAAAUAUACUCUUUGUAUAAACACCGAUAAUUGGUGAAAGUACAUAUAGAGCACAAGCGAGUGAUCCAUCCCAAAUAAUUAACGAUUAUCCUUAAAGAUAGUUCUAUCAUCUAUGUUGUUUGUUGUAGGGGAAAUCAGCCAGAGUUUUUCUAAAGCCCUGUGUUUUAAAGAAUACAUGAUUUGCUUGCUCAUUUUAGACUAAUAGAACUUUUCCUUUUAUAUGUGCAUUUUCCAAAUACCCCUCCUCCUGACUAGAAAUUUUGGUAAACACUGAGUUUGUGGUCGGUCUAUUAAAUUAUUUGAGAUUUAAUCAACAGAUGACAAAGAAUAAAUUGAUAGGGGAUGAUGCUGGAGAGUAAGAAUGGAAUAUGGAGGGCCAUAUUAAACAGAAGAAAGAAAAUUUAACCGACGGCUGACGAAUCUGGAAUUCGGGAUGAGAUGGAGGAGAGAAAGGUAUGAGCGAGGGUAGUUUGGUAAACACACACAAAAUUGUUGUUUUAUUCAGUUUUGUGUCAAAAUACAAAACAUAUUCUACUUACCAAACAAUAUUUUUUAAUUUCCCCAAAUAUUUACAAAACUUCAAUUCCUCAAUUUCUAAAUUCCAAAUUUUCUCCAUUCUGCCUUACCUUAUAACAAACGACUCCUAAGGAAAGUGAAUUGUAACAAGAUAAAGUAUAGUAGGUACCGUAAUCAUUACUAAAAUAAUAGAGACUAUGCCUCGACAACAUAGUCCAAAACUCGGAUAUCAAUCCAAAACUCAUUCCGUUUGGUCAGAUAAAAUCCGAUCAACACGGGUAAUUGACGGGUACGAGUAGAUCUGAUAUCUGUUUAUAUCAAUAACGGACGGGGAUGGAUUUGAUGAUAUCCGCGUCAUAAUUCACCCGAAAGGUACCCAUCACUUAAAAUAACUUCGUGUGACUAUUAAUACAUAUAAAAUCAACAAAAAUUAAUAGAAAAAUUCUAAUUCUAUUUAUUUUUAUGAAAAAGAAAUUCUUAUUUACUUGUUAUAUUUGAUGUACAUUGGUUGUAUGAUUACCAAUUUUUAUUUUGUAAUUUAAAAAAAUUUCAGGCAGUGUUUAUUGUUCAACAUUUGAUUUUUUUUUAUAAAAAUUUUGGUUUUAAUAUUAAUAUCUGAUUAAACGAAUAAACCUGAAACUCAUAAUAGAUGGGGAUGGUUUUCAUAUUAUGCCCAUUUAAAUAAAACAAAUAGAUAUAGAUAAACUCUAACGAAUAAACGGACUAAUGAUGAAUAUACCAAAUACAUACCCAUACUCACCCAAGGCCAUCUUUUAAAUAUAAUUUUAGUACUUACUAACUACAAUACACCACCAAGACCAAAAUGGAAGUAAAAAUAAAUAUUAAAUACUAAUAUGAGGGAAUUUGGAUUUCCGGUAAAAAAACUGAAGACUAUUUGGUGGAGACAAAAAGGGAUCUGAACCUUCCAUUUUAGGUUCAGGAUCUUAUGGAUGAGAUGGCAAAUUUAAUUCAGGGGCGUUUCGCCAUUUUUAGGGUUUCUUUGUUUUUUUCAGGUUAUUUUAGUGUUUUCAUUUAAUAGUGGUUCGAGUACAAUUGUUUUUUUAAAAUUGNNNNNNNNNNNNNNNNNNNNNNNNNNNNNNNNNNNNNNNNNNNNNNNNNNNNNNNNNNNNNNNNNNNNNNNNNNNNNNNNNNNNNNNNNNNNNNNNNNNNNNNNNNNNNNNNNNNNNNNNNNNNNNNNNNNNNNNNNNNNNNNNNNNNNNNNNNNNNNNNNNNNNNNNNNNNNNNNNNNNNNNNNNNNNNNNNNNNNNNNNNNNNNNNNNNNNNNNNNNNNNNNNNNNNNNNNNNNNNNNNNNNNNNNNNNNNNNNNNNNNNNNNNNNNNNNNNNNNNNNNNNNNNNNNNNNNNNNNNNNNNNNNNNNNNNNNNNNNNNNNNNNNNNNNNNNNNNNNNNNNNNNNNNNNNNNNNNNNNNNNNNNNNNNNNNNNNNNNNNNNNNNNNNNNNNNNNNNNNNNNNNNNNNNNNNNNNNNNNNNNNNNNNNNNNNNNNNNNNNNNNNNNNNNNNNNNNNNNNNNNNNNNNNNNNNNNNNNNNNNNNNNNNNNNNNNNNNNNNNNNNNNNNNNNNNNNNNNNNNNNNNNNNNNNNNNNNNNNNNNNNNNNNNNNNNNNNNNNNNNNNNNNNNNNNNNNNNNNNNNNNNNNNNNNNNNNNNNNNNNNNNNNNNNNNNNNNNNNNNNNNNCGUGAUUUUUUACUCGUUUUUUAUUUGAUAUACAUAUUGUUUCUUGACUUUGUAUGUGAAAGCAAAACGACACCCCAAAUAAACAUUAGUAAUUAAAAAAUUGUAGUACAAUACAAGACAAGAAACGAGUACAAAAUUUGAUUCCAAACAAGUACAGUUUAGAAAAACCAGUACCGGUGAAAAACUAAGUACAACAAGAUGACUAUUAAAAGAAUUGAAAAAAGCCAAUAUCCAAAAUAUAGUUCCUACAAAGGUGAUUUUAUGGCCGAAAAUUUUCUUUGAAACGGAGCUCUGGUGGUCGAGAAAAUUUUUCUGAAAUUAUUUGGUCCGACUUAAAAUUGUUAUUGUUUUAAAAGUUAAUUUUUAAAAUGACGUAUUUACUCCUAUUCAACUAAAAGUAUGUUGGAUUGAAUGUCCAAAAUCAACGGUUCAGAUUUAUUUGCUGUUACUCAAUACCACUUAUUGAGCAUGACCCCUCUUCUUCGAUCGAUAGCUGAAACGGUAUUAGAGUUUCGAUCAUCUGAAUAGAUGAAUGCGAUUUGAACACUGAGAGAAGAAGAUUGUUAUUCUUCAUAUUGCUGUGAACGAAGUCGUUAAUUGCAAGGAUAUAAAUGGGCCUGCAGUCAACACAGCCCAAUCACUUAUAACAAUAGACAAAGUCCAAUUGAUUUUCGCAACAGUCUUUGUUCUCACUUUGUUAAGAAACGAAGAACUAUAACUGCAAAUGGAGCUCGAUGAGCAUUAACACAAAAACAGAGAAUAAAUAAACCUAACACACAACAAAUUAAUGAGGUUCCGCCAAAGACAAAAUAGACUUUGUCGUCAAUCCUCGUUCAGAGGUCUCCCUCUCAGGGUUUGAAAGUUUUCGUUAUUAAUAACGUAAGUGUUACAAGCUACAAAAUCACUUUAACCCAACCCAAUGAAUGCUCCCUACAACACCUCUAGCUUCCCGCUAAGUGGAACAAUUCCCUAACUUGACACUCUAAACAAACUACCCAGUACUCGUAAGCUCCUUGCUAACUUGUACUCUUUUUUCCGGUAUAAUCUCUAUAAAUCAACUCUCAAUUUGUCAGCAUUGUGUCAGGUUCAUAUUUAUAGGGCUCUUCACGUGUUUCAUCUUGAACCUGCAGCUGUAAAGAUAAUCACAUGAAGGGUUAAAUAAUAUAUUUGAUUGAUUAUCUUCCCAGACCCCAACCCAUAAUAAAACCCUUUGUUUUAUUUAUCCUGAUUUACUAUCCAGCAGGUUGAUAAGUCUUUAAGUUAUUUCCGACUAAGAUAAUAUGACCCAACAAUCUCUCCCUGGGUCGAAGAAUGUCUCAACCUUGCUAAUCAAUCCCUUCUUGUCAUUGACAAAACAUUUGUUAAUCAGAUAGACUGAAAGCCUGACCAGAGUGUUACUCCCCUUCAGAUUGGACAUCUUCUUUUAGCACAAACAUGUGCCUGCAAACACCAACAUAUGGUUUUGAAGAAGCAACUUUUAUAAUCCAAAAUAGCCAUACUAAAGAAAACACAAGAGCAACACUCAAAACAAACACCAAGACACAGGAACUCAGGCGGAAACUAAAGGAACUAAAUACCAAACAUAGAAGAACAAUAAAAGAGCUCUUAGACUACUUCAUCAUCUUAUGGAUUGGCAGUCUAGAUGUUCAGGCGACGAGUCACUUCAUCGGCAAGGUCAUCAAUGCUGACUGAUCCUCCCCCUGAGACAUUACUCCAUCCAAUUUCUCGAAGAGGCUGUUGCGGACCAAGAGUAUCAAAGGGAGAUACUGCCAAGUACUUGUGAUGAAGACGAAUCCAUAGAUUUGUCAAGAGAAGAGAGAUCUCUGGUCCAAAUGGGAGAGCCCCUGUUAUGUUUGGAUUGCUAUAUUGGACCAUUGUAGUGAACAUGAGACGAGAGAAAUCAGUUUGGAUGUUCUUUAAUGCAUAGUGCAUGAUCCAGAGAUACGACCCUCGGAACGAGGUAGAAACAUCCAAGAAAUAAAGUAGUGUAGGACUCCAGAUUUCCCAGAAACUUUGAGAAUGUUGCGAGUGAUGAGUCCGUAACCGGCAGCCUGGUCUAGAGAGACAAAGUUUCAUCUGGAUUGAAAUUAUACCUUUGAAAAUCGACCUCAGAGAAGAUAACAGCACUGUCGCAUGGUAUUCGAAGAUUUAAAGCAAGAACUUCAGGAGAAAUAAAAAUGAAUGUGACCAUCAACAUACAUGCUAAAGCAUCCUUGAGCCAUAUAACCGUGAAGUUGAAGAUUUGCAUAGAACUGGGCAACAACGUCCCGAAAGAAGAGUCGUAGUCGGUUGAACACUAAGGAACUCCAACCAAGAUUUCUAAUCAGAGAAGCAACAUUGAGACCAUAUUGACCAAAGUCAACAGGGUUAAGCUGCAAAUGAGUUAAAAUAGGUCGAGGAGAAAAUAACCUAGCAUAAAUUGCCCUGUGAGUGGAGCUCCGGAUGAGAUCGUUGGUGUACUAAACGUAAGGACCAUGAGAGCCAAGAAAGGGAUUAGAGAAACUCAUGAUGAGAAGAGCAGAUGAGAGUGCUAAAAGUGCUAAAAGAAAUAGGCCUUUAAUAUAAGUUCAACUUCUCUCUUUAAGAGAGGCUACGCCUGUAGACAUGAGCAUCCCAACAGAUCUACAUAACAUUAAAUACCAUUCAAUAGGCAGAGGUUUGGUAAAGAUAUCAGCAAUUUGAAACUCAGUGUCAACAAAAUCAAUUGCAAUUACUUUGCUAGCAACAAGAUCACGAAUAAAAUGAUGCUUUAUAUCAAUGUGUCUUUAGUUCUAGAAUGAUGUACUGGAUUAUGAGUAGUAUUUAUGACAUUCGUAUUAUCAUAAAGCAUGGGGGUGGUCAAGAGAUGCAUACUGGAAUCAUUGAGCUAAGUUCGCAACCAAACGAGUUGUGUACAAUAGCUACCAGCCGCUACAUACUCUACUUCUCCUGUAGAAAGAGCGACAGAGCUUUGUUUUUUGCUGAACCAUGAGAUCAAGGAGUUGUCGAUGAACUAACAAGUUCCUGAGGUGCUUUUUGGUCUGUAAGACUUCCUGCAAAGUCAGCAUCUGAAUAGCCAAUAAGAUCAGGACAGGAAUCGCUGGUGUACCAUAGACCAAGAUCCAUUGUCCCUGGUAAGUAACAAAAAAUCCUUUUAACUAUAAUGAAAUGACUUUCCUUAGGAUUACUCUAAAAUCUUACACAGACUCCAACACUAAAUGAAAUGUCCGGUCUGCUAGCUAUAAGGUACAGAAGAGAACCUAUCAUGCCUUGAUAGAGCUUUUCAUUUACAACUGUUCCUCCUUCAUCAGAGCCCAAUUUAAUGGAAGUAGACAUAAGCGUCGAACAUGAUCUAUAAUCAGAGAGACCAAAUUUUUCUAUCAUGGUACGAUAGUAUUGAUAAGGCUAGAAUUUGUAGCAAUUAUCUACCCUUUUAUGCAUGUUUUUUGAGUGAUUAUUAGUUUGUUCGAGAUUCAUUCCUAUAUGAUUUCGUGUUUUGGCAUCACAUGCCUAGAUCCGCUUAUUUGGACCGUUUCGGUCCAUUUAAUGUGUUCUUUGUAGUAUUUGUCCCCUACAGGUACUUCAGAGAUAGGUGGUAUGGCUAUGAAGCCAAGGACGUAAAGUAUAGCACGAUUGGAGCUCAAACGGUAGAGUGAGAAAAGGAAUAGAGAAGCAAAGGGACUGCACGCCGUGCAGCACUGCACACUGUGCAGCCCUAAAUCAUGUUGAAAAUGUCAGCCUCAAAACGUAGGAACGGUGUGCACCCCUACACCACUGCAUACCGUUCCGCCCUUUUUGGUUCGAGGAAGUUUAGAGAUUAGGAGGUGCAUGGCGUGCACCACUGCAUGUCGUUCCCUUUCAUUUGCUAUGCAGAAAGAAUGAAGAUAGGGAGGUGCAUGACGUGCACCCCCCAAUUUCAGCAUCUUCUUAUAAAAGGGCUGAUUUUGAGGAAAGAGAAAGACAAGCCCCCAAACACGAAUUCUCUCGAUUUUCCCGACUUUCUUCUCCAAAAACCAGCACAAAACCUAUCUUAGAAGCUCAAUUGAAGAUCCAAGAGUUCCUAAUAAAGAUUGAAGCUAGGAUUGAUGUUAGGAUUGAAGCUAGAAGACCCAAAUCCAUGAUUGGAGGAAGAACAAUCCAUGAUCUCUUCGACAAAAUGAUGGUUAGGGUUUCUUUUGAUUUGUCUUCUUCUAGAGUUAUGAGUAACUACAUCUGUAGAGAUUCUUGGUUGAGAUGUAGGAUUUGAGCCAUGAUACCUGUCUUGAACGUUUAAAAACGACGAUUGUGGAUAUUUGGAUAUGAGUGAAAGAUUGUUUUGAUUGUUUUGAUUGUUUUGUUUUCAACCUAAUUCUUGUUACGGCUUGAAUUAGGUCAAAUUUAUGAAAUUCUUUGUUUGAUAGAAUUAGGAAUUCCUAAGAUUAAUAAUCAAGGAUAGAUGAAAAGUUAUCGGUGGGGUAAGCCGAUAACCCAAUUCUUCCUUUUGUGUUUCUUCUAGUUUUAAACGUUAUUCAUCUUGUAAUUGGCGUGUAGUUAUCAGUAGUUUAGGCAUUGAUGUACCAAGUUAACGCUAUUUUCAAUUACUCAUGAUUUCUUUUAAUUUCGGAAGUCUCGUGGUGUCUUUUAAUUCCGGAAGAACACCUUAUCACUUUGUAUUUCUUCUCGGUGUUUAUUACCUACUAGCUUGAUUAAGGUUAUUUCUACCUUAGUUAGGAAGCCAGUAAUGGUAAUCUGAGUGCAUGAUCAUGCCACGAAUUCAUACGAGUGAUAGGAGGAUUCCUAUUAUUCAUUCAAAGUCCAACAUUUGUUCAUUUCGAAUGCGUUUAGGAAGUUAAGCUUGAUGACUUAUCUCUUCCAAGAACUCGUUUUCUCCCGUUGACUCAACCUUUGAAGUGCUAGUUUUAAUUAAAUAUUAGAAUAAUUAAAACUCAAACCCAAUUGUUAAGAGAUGAAGAAUUAUAACUGCAAAUGGAGCUCGGUCAGUAAUAACACAAAGACGGAGAAUAAAUAAACACAAGACACGGCAAAUUAACGAGGUUACGCCAAAGCCAAAAUAGACUUUGUCGUCAAUCCUCGCUUAGAGGUCUCCCUCUGAGGGUUUCAAAGUUUUCAGUUGAUUAAUGUCGUGAGCGUUACAAGCUAUGGAAUCACUUUAAACCAACCCAGAUGAUGCUCCCUGCAACACCUCUAUCUCCCUGCUAAGUCGAAUGAUUCUCUAACCUGACACGUACCAGACGUGCUUUUGCGAUCAAUUACAUUGCCAGCAAAAUCAGAAUCGGAAAAGCCUAUCAAGUCCAUGGAUCCCUCAGCAGGAUACCACAGUCCCAAUUCAAGAGUUCCAGAAAGAUAUCGAAAAAUUCUUUUUACAAUCUUUAUAUGAGUGUCGUGAGGUUUACUUUGAAAACGAGCACAAACACCUACACUAUAUGCAAUGUCAGGUCUGCUGGCAGUAAGAUAGAGAAGAGAUCCUAUCAUUCCUCGAUAUAAUUUCUCAUUAACAGGUUUUCCAGGAGCUUCAUUAUGUAUGAGUAGCACAAUUUUUUAUUAAGGGAUAGUCAAACUUGGUUAGCGUAUUUUUACAGUAUUUAGUCUAACUUAGAAAAAUACCAAAUUGAGUUUGCUUGAUUUGCAAUCCAAGAAAGGAAGAGAGUUCCCCAAUUAAGCUCAUUUCAAAUGCAUCCUGUAUUGUUUUACUAAAUUCCAUACAUAGACUUUCGUUUUGUGAACCAAAAAUAAUAUCAUCAACAUAUACUUGAACAAUAAGAAGACAAGAUUCUACUGUUUUUAUAAAAAGAGUGUUGUCCACUGAACCUCUGGUAAACCCGUGAGAAAUUAGAAAUGAACUUAGCUUGUCGUACCAGGCCCUAGGAGCCUGUUUUAAACCGUAUAGAGCCUUAUUUAGUUUAUACACGUGAUGAGGAAAUGCAUGAUUUUCAAAACCAGGUGGUUGAGAGACAUAAACUUCUUCUUGUAAAUCCCCAUUUAGAAAGGCACUUUUAACAUCCAUUUGAUAAAGCUUGAAUCGAUUUAUACUGGCAAACGCACACAAAAGACGAAUGGCUUCUAGUCUAGCUACUGGAGCAAAGGUUUCAUCAAAAUCAAUACCUUCCUCUUGAUCGUAUCCUUGUACUGAACUCUUGAUUUACGAAUUCUCCACCAUUAUCACUACGAAUUUUAACAAUAGUUUGCUGUUUUUCAUUUUGAGUUUUGUUUCUAAAUACCCAUUUAGUUCCUAAAAUUGUUCUAUUCGUAGGCUUAGGAACAAGACUCCAGACACACAACCUAUCAAACUGAACCAUCUCCUCAUUCAUAGCUAAAUUCCAAUCAUCAUCUAAUAAGGCUUCUUUCUCAUUUUUUGGUUCUAAAAUUGACACAAAUGCAGAAUGAGAUGUUUGGGAGCGAGUAAUUAGACGAUCGUUAAUAUUUCCGAUUACCUGGGGAGGGGGGGGGCUCUUCUGUAUGGGGUCAUGAAUUUUAGAUUUGAAACUACUUCUAACUUGCUUUCCCUUAGCACAAGCAUCACAGAUUUUGUUUUUAGCAUAACUUAACUUGGGAAGACCCCUGACCAGGUUUAAGCUACUUAGUUUAGCUAGUAUCCCUAUGCUUACAUGCCCUAACUUUUGAUGCCAUGCAAACUGUUCAUCCACUUUCAUUGAUACAAGUGUGUGAUUGUUUGAGGGGAUGGUGUCUCACUGUUUCCAUUAUUGAGAGUGUUGUCUUCCUGAUGUGUGCUCAGCUCUGCUUCGGAGUUAUCACUGUGGCCAGAAUUUGUUUGUGAUUGAAGCCUGGGAGCAUAAUUAGUAUAAGACAGUUCUAAAGUAUCAUCAUUAGCUCCCUGUAACUCAAGAACAGAAUUAGUAUUCUCAUCAAAUAUCACAUUAACUGAUUCUUCCACUUUAUUAGACUGCUUAUUGAAGACAAGACACAAUUCAUCAAUGUUUUCAAUUAUUUUUAAGUUAACUAGAUAGAUAUUUCCCUUUUUAUAUCCUUUGAAAAGAACAGAGACUCUAUAAGCUCGACUGUGAGCAGAGUAGCCUAGAAAUAUCCCUUCAUCUGAUUUAGCGUCAAAUUUACCUAAGUGAUCUUUAGUGUUAAGGAUAAAGCAUUUGCAUCCAAAAGGCUUAAAAUACCCUAUACUAGGUUUUUUAUUUUUCCAGAGCUCAUAGGGAGUUUUAUUAAACCUGGAACGAAUGAGGGCCCUAUUUGUAACAUAGCAGGCUGUGUUAACAGCUUCUGCCCAUAAUUUUGGACUAAGAGCAAAGUCAUUUAGCAUAGUUUUAGCGAUUGCUAUUAAGGUUCUAUUUUUUCGUUCAACUACUCCAUUUUGCUGAGGCCAUCAGCCAGAUAACAGACCUGCAUCAACACUAGUCAUUUGGUUUUUUGCAUCCAACGGCCUUGGAUGUUGAAUUUUUAUUAGCAUAAAACAUACAUUCAGCUAUUGAGUGAUUAGAUGUGUGACACACAUGACACCAGUUAUUAUAAUCUAUAGCAGUUUUACAGAAUGACCUUAGUUCUCUAUAUCUAGGCAGAAAGUAAUUAUGACGAUAGUAAGGCCAUCUCCUUAAUUCUCUUUUAAGAACUCCAUUCUGUCUAAGAACAUUUCUAAGAUUAUUUUUAACAUUCAUAGUUUUCUGUUUGGCAAGUCUAAGGUGUUCUUUAGCAUUUUCAGAUUUUUGUAUUUCAGCUGUAAGUUUUCUUUUUAGGUCUGAGUACCUUACUCUAAAUUCAGCAAACUCAGAAGUUAUCUCUUCUAUAGUCUCAAGCAACUCUUCUUCAUUUUCAGAGAAACUAUCUAAAUUAGAAUCAUCAAUUUUCUCAUCUGCACUUAGAUUGUUUAGAGAUACCUCAAUUUUUUCGUUUACAGUUGCUUUGAUUUCUGAAGUUUCUUCAUGUAGUUCCUCAGCUAUUGCCAUGAGUGCAUGCUCUUCAUCAUCUGACGCUUCACUUUCAUCUUCACUUGCACUCCAAGUUGCUUGGAAGGCUUUCUCCUUAGUAGUGCAUUCAGCUCUAAGAUGUCCCAUCUUUCCGCACCUGAAACAUAUUGACGAACUAGCAGUACCCUCUUUUCUAGGUUUAAUACCAUUUCUCAGAGAAAAAACCAUUAUCUUAGGUUCAUCAGAUUUUUCAGCAUCUUUAUUUCUGAAGUUGCUACGUUGUUUUCUUAAGCGAAUCAUUUUACUGACCUUUUUUAUAAUAGUGCAAGCUCAUCAUCAUCAUAAUCAUCUAAGUUAUUAGUACUAGUAACUAGACUAGCAAUUUCUGUAUUAGUAUCUCUUUUUAAUAUUUCCUCAUGAGUAAGAAGUGAUCCAAGCAGCUCAUCUAGCUUAAUAUCAGCAUGAUUCUUUGUUUCCUCAAUGGCUGUGACCUUAGGAAGCCAUUGACUAGGCAAACACCACAAAAUCUUUCUGAUUAUAUCCUCAUUUUCAUAGAUUUUUCCUAGUCCUUCCAAUUUAUUGAUUAUAUUCUGAAAUCUAUCAGCCAUAUCUCUAAUAGUUUCACCAGGCUCCAUUUUAAAAAGUUCAAAUUCCUGUUUCAGCAUACUAAUUUUAGUGGUCUUUACUAGGUUAGUUCCUUUAUAGGUUAUACAUAACUUGUCCCAGAUUUCUUUAGUAGAUUUACAAGUAGAUAUCCUAUUGAAUUCUUCCUUUCCUAGAGCACAGUACAUAAGAUUAAUUGCUUGAGAAUUUAGUUGCACUUUUUUAAUGUCAUCAUCUGUCCAUUUAUCAAUGUUAGCUUUUACCUCUUGUGGACCAUUGACUAUGAGAACCCAUAGUAAUGGGUUGACAGUCUUGAUGAACAAUUCCAUACGGUUCUUCCAGUAUCCAAAGUGAGCACCUUCAAAUCUGGGAGGGCGAUUUGCUGAAAAUCCAUCUGCCAAAAAAAUUGCUCCCUGUGACUCACUCAUCAUGAUUCAACUACAAGCAGCUACUCAAUUACUAAGGAUCAGAAAUCACCUGGAUUAGUACUUGCCGAGGGUUGAUUCGAUAAGCUAACCAGCUCUGAUACCACUUGUUGCAAUCUGAUCCUCGUGCUUUCAAUAUCAGUUGAGACUGUUUCAAUAGAAGAAGAUGAUUAAGCUCCUUAUAUAACUCUAGAGUUAGUUCAGUACUUGAAUGAACUUAACAUAGAAUGCAUGCAACACAAGAUCACAAAUUCAAGACAUGCAUGCAACAUUAACUCUUCAGAAGCUUCAAUCUCGAUUAACAUAUGCAGAAGCAGUUUAUUAGGUUGACAUAAUCAGCAAUGGAUAUUCUCAGUGACAAGGAACUAAAUAAGUAACUUUAAAUGACAACUCGACAACCUUAAACACACUGAGUCUUAAACGUCAAUUCGUGGCCCUUGAUUGACUCUGUUAGGCUCCAGCUUCACUCCAGCUUCCAGGGUUGUCCAAUCAAGCCUUCAAUCGAUGUAGCUCCAGCUCCAGUCGUGCAAAAAUCCUUCAGACGAAACUCCAAGCUUUGACGUGUUUAUUUCCAGUUGAGAAGCGCAACUUGGACGAUUUGCAGCCUCUAGCUUUUAUUGUUGCCGUGGCUUGCUUUCAUUUAAUGAGGCUAGUGAGAUCGAAGCUUCCUUCUUUCCAAACUCGACUUCGAGUUCUUCGCAUCGCGGCCGCCUUCUCUUUUUGAUUCUGUAAGUCAAAAAUACCAAUUAGGGUUAGGAUCAAUUCACGACACUAAUGGUCGCUGCUUCUCCUGAGUGUCAGCUUGGGUUGGGCUUCUGUCAGAGUCUGUGUGGGCUGUUCAUGGGCCGAAACUUGAGCCUUAUCACUCAGGCUUGAUUUAUGUCAACACAAAGGAGGAACAACGGUUGGGUCACUGAUAGAGAUAUCUUCUCUGGAGCAUAUCAAGAUAAAGUAUAGUAGGUACCGCAAUCAAUGAUGGAAGAAACUCCAGGACUUUAAGGGGUAUCAUUUUUUGUGUUUGUGUUGCCGCUCGUCAAGUGUGACGGUUGAGAGCUAGGGAGAGUGCUCUGUUUUCGUCCAACUUGUUGCUGCACCAAUCAUGGGGUUCGGUAAAAAAGUUUUUCACUGUGUAUCGGACCUUUCCUUAUACUAGUAAUGAGUAAUUGCACUACUAGUAAAACUUGAUUGAGGAAGAUAGAAGGAUAUGAAGAAGAAUAGCUUUUUGGAAGCAAUGUGGUCUAAGGCUGUUAUAGGGGAAACCACCUUGAGUAGUAAUGAAAUUCACAACUUUGUCAAAAUCUUUGUUUGUUUGUUCAAAAUGAGUUUGGGGAAUUGGAAAUCAAAAUUCAUCUAGACCCACAUUUAAGCAAAAAAUAUUCUAUUUUCGGAUAUGUUUGUAUAAACCAACAUUUUUAACUUCCUCUGCAAGGACCCACUUACCUCCCUGCUGGAAGUAAAUUCCACUCACACCCUCCCAUUUCUUUUCUCCUUUUGCACAGAUGCAUCUCGACCUCAAUAUUUUCUUUACUCAAAUCAAGAGAUUUAAAAUAUAGUAUAGGAUUAAGAAUAAACUAGAGAGCGAUAAUGGUGGGAGAAGAUGACAUUAGUUCCAUCUCCGACACUGGUACAUCCGAUGGCAUCAGUUCAAUCUCUAGUGUCUACGGCGCCGAUACAUCUAAUAUAAGUGAUAUUGGUGCUAUUUAGACAGCAAAAUAUUCGAAAAAUGAACUUCCCAAGUUUUACUAAAUCCUUUGAUCUACAAACUACCCUUUAUUAAUUCCAAAUAUUUUCUCAUUGAUCUACAAAAUAAUCUUUACGUCUAUCUUCUCUGUAUCAUUUAGAAAAGAUAGACGUAAAAAGAAAUAGAGACGGUAGAGGAGAAACGGAAUAAGAAAGAAAGCUAAAAUAAGUAAUGAAUGGUGGAGGUAAUUUGAUUAUUAUACAAACAACUCAUUUUUAUCCAAAUAUUUAUGAUAGUGAAAUUUUUUAUAAUUCACCUCUAUUAAACUGUGGAUUUCAUUUUUCUUCAAAAUAUAUAUAAAUUUCAAUUUCUCAAUCCUCAAAUCUCUAAUUAUCUUCCUCUUAUUUUCCCUAAAGCAAACAUGACCUAAAUUAUUUAGUUCAAAAAUCGAAAUUUGAUUUGAUCAAUCAAUCCUCAAUCUAGAAUUAAAUUUAUAUUUUUUUUGUGAUCCAAAAUCAAAUAUGUGAUAUACCUAUAUAGAAAUGGGAGAGUGAGACUCGUGGGCCGGAUUGAUAAAUACUUGCAUUACUUUUCAUCCAAUUAUUUUUCCAAUAUUCAUCAGCUGGUUUUUCAGUAAUUUCGCCAGUAGCAAGGAGCCACUUGGAGAAGUAGCAAAACGACGUCACCGAAUCCAGGACUGACACGUAUCACCUCGGUAAUCGCUAGUAACAUACCCACCAUUCCGGAUUUCGUUUCCUACAAAUAUCUACACUGCUCAGUACUCAAUCAUUCCACACGUUCCUCACCUCACUACCAUGGAUCGCUCAACCAAGUUUUCUCUCCUCCUCUUUCUCUCGAUCCUCUUCUCCUCUUCCGCCGCCCUCUCCGUAUCGGAGAUGGUUCCGGAGGAGGAGCCUCUGAUUCGACAGGUAGUUUCCGGGAUCGAGGACCACCUCCUGGACGCCGACGGCCACUUUGCCAGCUUCAACACAAAGUUUNNNNN